rnacentral:lncRNA from 1 species
AACUAUAUGCUGUUAUAAGAUUAAAACUUGAAUUAUGGAAUUCAAUUAAUUCUGGAUAAGCAAUACUCAAAAUUAGUGUAAAGUACUAAUGUUGAACACCAUGACGUUAUUACAUGAUUCCUUAUUUUUCUAUCGAGAAGCGAAAGAGGAAAUAAGAAGACAUUGUUUCAUUUCAAUGCUAAGUGAAAACCAAUGUGUUUAACAUAUGACUUUACAGGUCCUUGCAUUAUAUGUCCUGUGAAAAAAUUCAUAAAUUUCUUGAAAAAUCAUCCUUCAUAACAUUGAUACCAUCUUUAGAUUAAAAGAUCUUUCCAAACAAGGCGCAUAGUAAUGACCAUAGCCAAAGCACAUACUUGUAUAGUUAGUUCGCAGAAGAGACAACAUGACACUUAUUGGCAACAAAUUUAAGCUAUGCACUGGUAAUAUAAAAAUUAUAUACAAUCAGUUUUACUUAUAAAGUAAUAUAUGUAAAUCCGUUGAUAACCAUUACUCCAAUGGUAGUCUCGUAAAAAUAGGGAAUUGACUUACUAUCACAUGUUAAAUUUUAUGGAUACGGCAAAAACAUCUUUAUACUGUCAGUGUAUAUAACUUAAAUCUACAAUUAGUAAAAAUAUAUUGUGGUGCUGAUGAAUUCUAACAAAUUAACGUGUUUGUUCAUGUUCUUCUGAAUAAGCUCUUUCAGAGUUUCACCAUUGCUCAUGUAGCAGUUAAGUACUGGAACUAAGCCGCAUUAAAUCUGUAAACAUGAAUUAACAAUGUCUUGAAUGAGCAUAAAACAAGAUAGCAUGUGUUGCUGACAUAAACAACUUUGUCAAUUGGGGUCUAAUAUGUUAAUAAAGUUUCAAUCACAUUGUUUUCCAAACAUAAACAUGCAUUAUUAAUUUCCCACAAUUUAUGCAUCAAGGUGGUAAUAAAUUUAAACUUCUCCUCGAAUUUCCUAAACCAUAGUUCUACAUCUUUUACCCUGCAGGUAGACAAAAUCUAUAGAAAUGGCAAGUGGAUAAUGAUAGGGAUAUCAUAUUGUAAGCUCAAUAUAUCACAGGGUGGAUUUCAAUCCUUGUGGCAAUAUAUGAGAGGACAAUACUGAAUGUGUCCCUUCUUGGAAAAUUAAUGAGUUGUAGAUUCAAGUUGCUACAAUAUAUGGGAUCUUGAUAUCCAAUGAGAUCAUAUGUAUAGAUAUCACUGGAUAAGAGGAUUCUCUCUCUCUAAUUACCUCCUAUAUAUUCUGAACCCCAACUACUUCAGCUUCAUCACAACCAACUUUGACAUUUCAAACACUCAUCACUUUUCUCUUGUUAUAAACCAUGGCAGCUUCUACAAUGGCUCUUUCUUCCCCUUCUUUUGUUGGGCAGGCAGUGAAACUCUCACCCUCUGCCUCAGAAAUCUCUGGAAAUGGAAGGAUCACUAUGAGAAAGGCUGUUGCCAAGUCUGCCCCGUCUAGCAGCCCAUGGUAUGGACCAGACCGUGUUAAGUACUUAGGCCCAUUCUCUGGUGAGUCCCCAAGCUACUUGACCGGUGAAUUCCCUGGUGACUACGGCUGGGAUACCGCUGGACUUUCAGCUGACCCUGAAACUUUUGCCAAGAACCGUGAACUUGAGGUGAUCCACUGCAGAUGGGCUAUGCUUGGUGCUCUUGGAUGUGUCUUCCCUGAGCUAUUGGCCCGUAAUGGUGUCAAGUUCGGUGAGGCUGUGUGGUUCAAGGCUGGAUCCCAGAUCUUCAGCGAGGGUGGACUUGAUUACUUGGGCAACCCAAGCUUGGUCCAUGCACAAAGCAUCUUGGCCAUCUGGGCUUGUCAAGUUGUGUUGAUGGGAGCCGUUGAGGGAUACCGCAUUGCUGGUGGACCUCUUGGUGAGGUUGUCGACCCACUCUACCCCGGUGGCAGCUUCGACCCAUUAGGCCUUGCUGAAGACCCGGAGGCAUUUGCUGAGCUUAAGGUUAAGGAGAUCAAGAACGGCAGACUUGCUAUGUUCUCUAUGUUUGGGUUCUUUGUUCAGGCCAUUGUUACCGGAAAGGGUCCAUUGGAGAACCUCGCUGACCACCUUGCGGAUCCAGUUAAUAACAAUGCCUGGGCCUUUGCCACAAACUUUGUUCCUGGAAAAUGAAUAUCAUAAAUUGAUGGCCUUGUAAAGUUGUAAUUGUGAGUUUACUAGACAAUAUAAUGGAUUUUUCUUAUAUUCCAACUAUGGUGUAGUAUAUAAUUCCAUUUUCCAAUUGCAUGAAUGAAAUACUGCAAGAUUCAUAUCAAAGGGGGAAAAAAGAUGACUAAGCAAAAACAAAAAAGAAAAACCAAUAUACAUUUGGAAUGUGGUAAAAGCUUAAAUCUUGAAUAUACAGACACAGGAACUUAAGGAAUUCAAUUUAUCCUCAAGAAUCAAUAAUAGUCUUAACUUAAUGCCAAGAAUAACAUUGAACAACAUGAUGUUAUUGACAUGAUUCCUAAUUUUUCUAUCUGAGAAGUGAGAUGAUUUAAGAGUACAUAACAAUUUUUCACUUCUACAUCAUUGACAUUUCAUUGAUGAGAGAAAACCAAUGCUGUGUGUUAUGUAAUCUGAACGUAGCAAGUAAAAGCAUCUAUGCAACUGCUUAUAUAACAGAGGCAGGUAUCCUCCAAAGAUGGCAUAUAGUAACGAGUAACGACCAGAGCCAAAAUUAAGGAAAUAGUAAGCAGAAGAUACAAGAAACUAAGAUAUACAUGACACUUAUUAUAAAGGAAAAUAAGUUCUAAGCAUUGACAUUGUAAAAAUGCUAAUGCUCAUGUCACUUAUUAACAAGGGCAGGGGUAAGCUUCAUCAUGCAUAUUUGACAGAACCAAUUAAGUAGUUUUGGUUCAAACAAAUAUAUAUAAGUGUUAAGAAACAAACAAAUUAAAUUGAGGAAUUCAUUUACUAGUAACUAAAUGAAACAUAUACAGAAUGUUCUAUGACUAUAAAUGCCUCUUCAUGACCAUAAGAUUUUUAAAAAUCCAUGCAUGGACCUUGGUUGAAAGAGAAUAUGAUAUUCUGCAUUGCCUUAAUGUCGCCAAAUGCUAUAGUGACUCUUGGAUGCAAUGACAUUAUAUCAAAGCUGCUAAAUGUUUUUACGGAAAAUCUUUUGUCAUUGAAUGUCUCUUUUGUUGUAGUGAUAUGUGUUAAAGAAAUUCAUCAACACAAAUUAAAUUUAGAAUCUGUUUAUCAGAAUCCAUAAAGUUCAAAUCUUGAUCCACAUUUGCUUAUGAAGUAAAUAGAGGUUAAACAUGAAUUGAUAAUAUGAUAAAAAUGAGUUUCAGCUUUUCCUCAAUUUAUUUAGUGAAGGCUUAACCAUAGUUCUACAUUGAAUAAGCUUUAGUGCUGAUAGAUAAAAUUUGGAUAAAUUCCAAAUGGAUAAUGAUAAGAGAUAUCAGUGUAUUGUAAGCUCAACAAAUCAGAGGGUAGAGUUCAAUCCUUGUAUCCACACAUAGGAGGACAGUAUUGGAUGGGUCCCUUCAGUAAACAUCUUAAAAAAUUAGAAGGAUUAGAGAUUGUCAAGUUGCAUUCAUUGCUACACUUAGGAUCUUGAUAUCCAAUGAGAUCAUAGAUAUAGAUAUCAUUAGAUAAUUUGGACUCUUUCCCUCUUAAUUACUCCCUAUAUAUAUGGUGAAUUAAUUCCUUGUAACUUCAUCUCAUUACAGCCAACUUCAACAAUAUCUCAUACCAUCAAACACUUACAUUUCUCUUGAUAUAAACACCAUGGCAGCUGCUACAAUGGCUCUUUCUUCCCCUUCUUUUGCUGGACAAGCAGUGAAACUCUUACCAUCUGCCUCAGAAAUCACAGGAAAUGGAAGGAUCACUAUGAGAAAGGCUGUCGCAAAGUCAGCCCCAUCUAGCAGCCCAUGGUAUGGCCCUGACCGUGUUAAGUACUUGGGUCCAUUCUCUGGUGAGUCCCCUAGCUACUUGAAUGGUGAAUUCCCUGGUGACUACGGGUGGGACACCGCUGGACUUUCAGCAGAUCCAGAAACCUUUGCCAAGAACCGUGAACUCGAGGUGAUCCACUGCAGAUGGGCUAUGCUUGGUGCUCUUGGAUGUGUCUUCCCUGAGCUCUUGGCCCGUAAUGGUGUCAAGUUUGGUGAGGCUGUCUGGUUCAAGGCUGGAUCUCAAAUCUUCAGUGAGGGUGGACUUGACUACUUGGGCAACCCAAGCUUGGUCCAUGCACAGAGCAUCUUGGCCAUCUGGGCUUGCCAAGUUGUACUCAUGGGAGCCGUUGAAGGUUACCGUAUUGCUGGUGGACCUCUUGGUGAGGUUGUAGACCCACUCUACCCCGGUGGAAGCUUCGACCCAUUAGGCCUUGCUGAAGACCCUGAGGCAUUUGCUGAGCUCAAGGUAAAGGAGAUUAAGAACGGUAGACUUGCUAUGUUCUCUAUGUUUGGAUUCUUUGUUCAAGCCAUUGUUACUGGAAAGGGACCAUUGGAGAACCUUGCUGAUCACCUUGCAGACCCAGUAAACAACAACGCCUGGUCCUACGCCACAAACUUUGUCCCCGGAAAAUAAAAAUCUUAAAACAUUCUCAAGUUUCUGAUCAUUUGUUGACCAUGUAAAGUUGUAAUUUGUGAGUUAACUUGAACAAUAGAAUUGAUUUUUCUUACAUCUUAUUCCUGUUAUGGUAUAGUCUUGAAUUUCAUUUUCCAAUGGCAUGAAUGAGAUGCUGCAAGUUUCAUAUCAAAGGGGAAAAACAGGUGACUGUUCAAAAAAAAUUAUACAUUUGGUAUGUGGUAAAAGCUUAAAAGUUGAAUAUAGAGACCAGUAGAGGAACUUAUGGAAUGAUUCAGUUCUCAAGAAGCAAUACUCUUAACUUAGUGCCGACAGUAGCAUGAUGAUUCCUUUAUUUUUAAGUUGAGAAGUGAGAUGAAUUAAGAGGACAUACGUUUAUUUCACUACUACGUACGCAGUGACAUUUCAAUGAUAAGGGAAAACUAAUGUAUAUGUUUUGUCUUCAGAAUCAGCAAGUACUCUCUCUGUUUCAAUUUAAUCCGUCUUACUUUCAUUUUUUACAAUACCUUGCUUCAACUUUUCACUUAACAUGUUUAAGACCACAAGAUUAAAUAACGUUUUGGUACAUUAUACAUAUCUUUGUUUUAAGAUCAUAAGAUUCAAAAAUAUUCUUUACUUUCUUAAAUUCCGUAACAAGUCAAAAUUAGACAAACAAAAUAAAACGGAGUGAGUGAUAUUGACGAGUUUCCAGAUCAUUAAUAGACUGAUAUGUCGUUAAUUUAAUUAGCAUCUUUAACUUGAACAAAAUCAUAAACUUCUUGUAUAAUCUUCCUUCCUUACAUAUGUCUUUAGAGUAAAAGCAUCUGUGUGACAGCUUAUAUAACAGAGGCAGAUAUCCUUCCAAACAUGGUACAUUUUGAUCAGAAUUUACAGCCAAAAGGACACAUAGUAAGCAGAAGAUAUUCAUGACACUAUGGAAAAGAAAAUUAAGUUCUAUGUAUUGACAUUGUCAAAAAUACUUGCACAAUCAUAUCACUUAUUACAGUGGCUCGCAGAGGUAGCCUUCAGCAUAUCAGUUUGACAGAACCAAAUAGCUUUGGCUUAAACCAUGUAUAUGUGUUAACAUAUUCAUUAAAUAUGUAUACAGAAUUUACUAAUACUUGAGGUCAUUGUCCUAGAUUCUAGAACUCAUAAAGUUCAAAUCUUGAUUAGUCUUUCCUUUUUAAGUAAUUACAAGUUGUGAUAAACACCAGUAACAAUAUAACGAGUAUAAUCUCAUAACUAAGGUCUGGCGAGGGUAACGUGUUAGGCAGACCUUACCCUACAUUAAGUGACAUAUAGCGCUGUUAGAUAAAAUCUGGAGAAAUUUUCAAUGGAUAAUGAUAAGAGAUAUCAUAUUGUAAGUUCAACAAAUCACAGAAUAGAGUUCAAGCCUUGUAGCCAAUUAAAGGUGGACAACAUUAGUUGGGUCCCCACUGUAAACAUCCUGUAAAAUUGUUGGACUAGAGAUUGCCAAGUAGCAUUACUUGCUGUAUAUGGGAUCUUGAUACCCAAUGAGAUCAUAAAUAUAGAUAUCACUAGAUAAGGACUCUUUCCCUCUUAAUCCCUAUAUAUGCUGAAUAAUUCCCUUGUAACUUCAACUCAUCACAGCAAACUUCAAAAGUUUACCAUCAAACACUUACUUUUCUCUUGAUAUAAACACAAUGGCAGCUGCUACAAUGGCUCUUUCUUCCCCUUCUUUUGCUGGACAGGCGGUGAAACUCUCACCCUCUGCCUCAGAAAUCUCUGGAAAUGGAAGGAUCACUAUGAGAAAGGCUGUUGCCAAGUCUGCCCCAUCUAGCAGCCCAUGGUAUGGCCCUGACCGUGUUAAGUACUUGGGCCCAUUCUCUGGUGAAUCCCCAAGCUACUUGACCGGUGAAUUCCCUGGUGACUAUGGAUGGGACACUGCUGGACUUUCAGCAGACCCUGAGACCUUUGCCAAGAACCGUGAACUCGAGGUGAUCCACUGUAGAUGGGCUAUGCUUGGUGCUCUUGGAUGUGUCUUUCCUGAGCUCUUGGCCCGCAACGGUGUAAAGUUUGGUGAGGCUGUGUGGUUCAAGGCCGGAUCCCAGAUCUUCAGCGAGGGUGGACUUGACUACUUGGGCAACCCAAGCUUGGUUCAUGCACAAAGCAUCUUGGCCAUUUGGGCUUGCCAAGUUGUGUUGAUGGGAGCUGUUGAAGGUUACCGUAUUGCUGGUGGACCUCUUGGUGAGGUUGUCGACCCACUCUACCCAGGUGGAAGCUUCGACCCAUUAGGCCUUGCUGAAGACCCAGAGGCAUUUGCUGAGCUCAAGGUAAAGGAGAUCAAGAACGGUAGACUUGCUAUGUUCUCUAUGUUUGGAUUCUUUGUUCAAGCCAUUGUUACCGGAAAAGGUCCAUUGGAGAACCUUGCUGAUCACCUUGCAGACCCAGUAAACAACAACGCCUGGGCCUUCGCCACAAACUUUGUUCCCGGAAAGUGAAUACCAUAAAAUGAUUUUUAAAUUUUCAUGUAAAGUUGUUGUGAAUGAGUUGACAAUAUAAUGGAUUUUUCUAUUCCAAUGAUUUUUAGUCCUGAAUUUUCAUCUUCUAAACCCACAAUACGAAUCAAACAAUAAAACUUUCAUUCCAAAAACAAAAGAAACAGAAUAGAGAAUAAAGCCCUAACGAACACUUUCAACGAUAUGGUAAUUAAAAAACCACAGUAAAGGUGUUUAUAGCUUAAACUUCAAUUUGUAGAACAUAGCAGAUUUAUUAGGUGCAUCGUCUAUGCUAUGUUUGAGCUAUUGACACACAUAUACUGACAAUAACAACAAACAGAUAGUAUAUUGUUUGCUUGAAUGUUAAUGUUAUAAAUUACAUUAAUUUCCAGGUCGAAAAUCUCUGCAGAUUUUAAUUUUCCAUUAUCACGUACAGUGGUGUAUAGUGAUCAUUAUGACUAAUGUCUCUUCAUGACCAUGAGAUUAACUAACAAAAGUCUAUUCAUGGAUCUAUGUUAAAAGAAGAAAAAACGAUGGUGGGUACUGGCGCUAGUUGCUUGGAUUCUUUGAAAAUGUCAACAAGUGUGUUUGGAAUUAUCAGCAUAAACAUGAAGGUCAAAACUUAAAAGUUGAAUUACCAUUUUAGCCUUAUACUAAAUUAAAAUAUUAUAAAUUAAUUAAUUAAUUAAAUAUUAAAUAUGCUUAAAUUGUUAAUUAAGUUGAUCACUUAUUGUUAAAAUAAUGUAGGAGAAUGAAUAGUUGUAAAAAUAAUUAAUUAUAAAGUUAUUACGAAAACGUAUUAGAGAAAUUUUUCAUUUCUCUAUCUGAUCAGUUUUAGGUGUAAUUUUGUCAUAAUGUGUAUUAAUACCACACCUCCACUAUCUCAUCAUUAAUAUUCACACCUUCAUAAUCUUUCCACACUCUCAAGAAGUUGAUGGCACUUCUUGGAUCACUUAAUUUGUAAUGUUUUUAUCUUCUAUUAGCAUUUUCCUAUAUUAUAUAUUAUACUUUCUCAUGUAAUCAUGUUAUCUUUAUUUUUUUUAUAUGAGUUUGUUAUGCUCAAUGUUUUAUUUAUCUUUAUUUGAACUCAUCUAAAUUGUUGAAUAUUUCAACUACUAAUAAAUUUUUUAAAUUUGACUUUUUUUUAUGAAGAUACAAUUAAGAAAUGACGUUAAUAUUUCAUAGUGAUGAUGCAGUAAGUGAAGCAACACAGAUUGAACUGUUUCAAGUGGUAUCAAUUUUCAGGUAAUAAAUCAUUUUUCCUUAUAUGCAAUUAAUUAUUUUUGUGUAAGUUGAUAUGUUAUUAAUAAAAUUUUGGUUUGAUUUUUAAAUAAAAAUUAUUUUAUAGAAGUUGAGACGAUACACUUAAUUGGAUUAUCCAAAAAAGGAAUCUUUUACACAAGGACAAGAAGAAAGACUUCUAGCUUUAUCACUGCAUUUCAUGACAAUCAAUGGAAUAUCCUACCAGACAAAAAGUUGAUAUAAUUUUGUACAAGUGAAUCCAACUCACUAACAAAAAAAUUAAAGAAAGAAAAAAAUGAACAUGAAGAGAAUAAAAAUGAAGAUAAAGAGAAUCAAUGGUGUCUUAUAAGUUGAUGAACCACUGUAACUUCAUUAUUUUUUGAAUUUACGAGGAAAUGAAUUAUUGAUGAAAUUUGUGAAAUGUACAUAUAUACCUUUGGAUCGGUAACAAAUAUGAUUGAAAGUAGUAUUUUUUCAUGCAUAAUAGCUAAUUCUUGAUAUAUAUAUUGUUUAAAUUUAUUAUUUGCACUACAAACAUUGUAUAAAGUAUUUUAGGAUAAAUGUGCAACGCACGUUUUCGAAAACUAGUGUUGUUAUAAAAUCCAAAAACCAAUAUCUUCACUUAAUGUGAAUUAGAACUUGUAAAAUAACUACAUUACUCCAUAUCACCAUAUGUAUUAUGAUCUGACUCAAUCUUGCUUAUGCUCAUACCAUAAUUUUUAUCAAGGGGAUUCAAAAUAUGAAAAAAAAAAAAAUAGACCCAUAAAGAAGUCUAAGGGGAAUUCAACUAUAUAAUAUACGUAUAAUUUUAAUUAACCAUUUAUAAAUAGCAUAAUUUUCUAUCAAAUAAGAUUUGGAUGAAGUCCUCGGCUCUACCUCGCUCUCAUAAGUAGUAUAUAUAUUAUUACUGGGAAGCAUAUAAUCUAAAUUACUUUGUUAAGGAUCGAUGUUGAAUUUUCUUUUUUACUUUUUUAGUACUGAUUCACCGGAAGAAAUUAAAUAUAUUCAGAAAAUAGAUAUCUGAAAUUAAAUUAUUUUCGUAUUUUUUUUAUGAACUAGGAAAGAAAAAAAUUGGAGCGAAUAUCACCUGUUAAUCUCAUUGCUUUUUAAAUUGCAAUUUUACUUUCCCACAAUUUGCAAGUGUUGAUUAAUGACAAUAUCCUGCCUAUGAAAGACCCAUGAGCGGUUGAGUGGCCUGGGUCGGAGUAACAUGGCACUUUCUUAAUGAAUUUAAUUAAGAAAUAAAGUUGUGUCUUAUGCGUAUUUGAUUGUAAUAGUAAAUCAGAUAGUAAUUCAUUUCAUAUUUUCCUUCUUGACCAGUAAACUCUAAAACCAGAGAGAAUAGAUGCAUCAAAAAAAAAAGACUAAUGGACCUACAUUGAAUGAGCUAGCUGUAGAAACAGAUGGUAUCUGUUAUCCUGCUGGUAGAGGUGUCAUAAUGUAAGCUCACGAGAUAGAGUGAAAUCCUUGUAGCCAUACAUAGGAGGACAACAUUGGUUGGGUCCCCCUCGUAAAAAUCAUGAAGAAGUUGAUGGAUUAUAGAUUGCCAAGUGUGCUACACAUGGGAUCUUGAUACCCAAUGAGAUCAUACAUAUAGAUAUCACUUGAUAAGAUGAUUCUCUCUCUUUUCUCCUAUAUAUUCUCAACCCCAACUAACUUCAUCUUCAUCACCCAUCAAACACUUAAUUCUUCUCUUAAAAUAAACACAAAUGGCAGCUGCUACAAUGGCUCUUUCUUCCCCUUCAUUUGCUGGACAGGCAGUCAAACUCUCACCAUCUGCCUCAGAAAUUUCUGGAAAUGGAAGGAUCACUAUGAGAAAGGCUGUUGCCAAGUCCGCCCCAUCUAGCAGCCCAUGGUAUGGCCCUGACCGUGUUAAGUACUUGGGCCCAUUCUCUGGUGAGUCCCCAAGCUACUUGACCGGUGAAUUUCCUGGUGAUUACGGGUGGGAUACCGCUGGACUUUCAGCAGACCCUGAAACUUUUGCCAAGAACCGUGAACUUGAGGUGAUCCACUGCAGAUGGGCUAUGCUUGGUGCUCUUGGAUGUGUCUUCCCUGAGCUCUUGGCCCGUAAUGGUGUCAAGUUCGGUGAGGCUGUGUGGUUCAAGGCCGGAUCCCAGAUCUUCAGUGAAGGUGGACUUGACUACUUGGGCAACCCAAGCUUGGUCCAUGCACAAAGCAUCUUGGCCAUCUGGGCUUGCCAAGUUGUGUUGAUGGGAGCUGUUGAGGGAUACCGUAUUGCUGGUGGACCUCUUGGUGAGGUUGUCGACCCACUCUACCCUGGUGGCAGCUUCGACCCAUUAGGCCUUGCUGAAGACCCAGAGGCAUUUGCUGAGCUCAAGGUAAAGGAGAUCAAGAACGGUAGACUUGCUAUGUUCUCUAUGUUUGGAUUCUUUGUUCAAGCUAUUGUCACCGGAAAGGGUCCAUUGGAGAACCUUGCUGACCACCUUGCAGACCCCGUAAACAACAAUGCCUGGGCUUUCGCCACAAACUUUGUCCCCGGAAAAUGAAUCUCUUAAAACGUUCUCAAGUCUCUGGUCGUUUGAUGACAGUGUAAAGAUGUAGUGUGCUACCUGACAAUAUAAUGAAAUUUUGUUUGUGUUUGAAUGGCUUUUCUGUACUGAGUUUCAUUUUCCCAAGUCAACUCAUAAAUCAAGCACUAACAAUGAUACAACAAAAUGACCCCUCCACAUAUGAGUAAUAACUAGAAAAACUGCAAUGCUAUGUUGUAAGGUUGAACUUGAAUUUUCAACUAGAGCAGUUUAUUUAAUUUAAUGAAUUCUCUUUUUAAAAUAAUCUAUACAGGAUCUCACGUACGUAAACAAGUUGACUACACUCUCUAUAUUCUUGCUUUAAGCACUAUGAAAAGUAUUUACUAACAACAUAUUUGGCCAAAAAGAAUAUAUUGUACUAACAACAUAAAGAUUUACAGAAAAUUGUAAAUUAAACUGAGUUGCUCAUUUCUCGCCGGAAAAGCUUCACAGAUGGUAUUGGUAUGCCAAUUUUGCCUUGCACCUUUGAUAUCCGAGGUUGUACAUGCAUUACACUCAUUGUGAAAUCACAAAUGCUCAGUGAAGUGGUUGCUCACCCUGUUAUCCUCGAGUGGAUGCUAUUGCCACACAAUGAUGGCAUGCAUAUUCAAGCAGCUAACUAGAUCAAUAAAUUAACAAAUUGUGAUUGGAAUGAGAUCAAUUACGACUUGCAGCUCUUGCUCUCAACACAGCCUUCUCGUAAAGUUCUUCAUAUUGUGAUGCUGAUGAAUCCCAACUAAAAUCUAUGCUCAUGUCCUUCUGAACAAACUCUUUCCAGAUCUCAUAAUUGUUCAUAUAAUAGUUAAAUGCACGUUCCAAAGCAUUGUUGAAUCCCUGGUCAUGGAACAACAGUGCAACAUCAAAAUUUGUAUAUUUUAUUUAAAAACAAAGGUUGAUGCAAGUUCUGAACUGUAAUAAUUUGCUAUAAGGCCACAAAACUGAACUAGAACUGUGUCUUGGACAACUUUUUACUAAUGUAUUAGGCUCUUAGCUAUUAAAUUGCUGAUACCUGUUCAUCAGCAGUCGCAAAUGUGAAUCCAUUUCUAAACUGAAGUGGGAUUGAGUCAUCGUCAACAUCAAAAACACUGCAAAAUGAUUUGAAUGGUUAAUAAUAAAUCUGAAACUGUAAAAUCAUGAAUGCUGACUACUGAAGAAGUCCUGAUGUUCCGCAUCGACGAACCUAUCAUUCAAGCCCCCUGUUUUCCUAGCUAUUGGUAUCGACCCAUAUCUCAUUGCUAUCAUCUGCACAAAUGGAAUUCAGAUUCAAACAUUAGAACUUAAAAGUAUUGAGUCAUUCUACAGGUUCUUGAUAUAAUAGAAAUUGUUCAGGCAACUGUGGAAUGACCUGAGUAAGACCGCAAGGCUCAAAGAUGGAAGGGAUAAUAAGCAUGUCAGAUGCUGCAUAUAUCAAAUGGGAAAGAGCCUCAUCAUACUUCAAUACCAACCGAGCAUGUUCGUGAUUUUGGAAAUGGUUCGCAAUAUCCUCAAAUUCCCUCUGCACAAAUAUUGAUGUAUGAGUUGACAAAGUUCUAAUCAUUAUGCUAGGAUGAACCACGGGUAGAGCAACAGUGGAGGAGUCCACAGCAAAGUGCAGACAAGUUUACAUGAAUGGUUUGAUAAGAAAUAAGUGUGGGAAGAUGUAACAUACUAAAGUUGAGCCAAAAACAUCUGACAGAGAAGCAUUAUAUCCAUCAUAUACAAUUUUAUUAUUUUUCCAUGAUUAACAAUGCAAAGAGAAGCCACUAAAAGAAAAUCUAGCAAACCCAAGUCUAUUCAUGUGUUGGGGGAAAUAAGAAAUCAAGCUUCAAACAGUUUAGUGUUUAAGUUCAAUAGAAAGAAUACAAGUAAGAAUUGGAACAUUUACCAUAGUAAAUACAAAUUUAUAGAAACCAGCACACCGAACCUCAGCAAAGGCAUCAUCUCAAGAAAAGACAAACCAACCUUUAUAAAGAAUAUAACUGUGGCUGAUACCAACCAUUCUUAUGAGUUUCCAAGUUUUGGAUGUCUCCAUAAAGGUAGGAUUUCUGAUUUGAUUAGCACAGGAACACAAAGAUCUAACUGCUAGACUGGAAGAAAAAGGUUACUGAAUUGUUCAUUCUCAUGGACCCCCAACUGGAAGAUCCAACACAUAAAAUUGAAAACCCAACAGCUUUGUUCCUGUUCAGACGUGAAUUCUUAUAGACAAAACUGGACAUGUAGAACCUAUUUUUCUUCUACCGUAUUUCACAUUUUAUUGAUCAACGAAGUUCAAAAAUUGAGCUACAGCGGCUUAUCUGUGUGCUAGAAUCAACAAAAUAUAUAACGUUGACACUGUCAUUAAGACGACAUGAUGAUUGUAUUUACUUAUAGCAUAGGAAAAGGAAAUCAUUACCUGAAUAUGCGGCACUGGGCUAGAACCAAGAAGAACAAAUUGACCUCCCAACUCCAAAGUCCUAUAUACGGCAUGUCUAAUAAGAUGCACACCCUUUUGAGGAACCAGUCUUGUUAUGCAACCAACCUGUAGCCAGCCAAUCUUAGUUAAAAUAUGAAGGUGAUAUGGAAGUUUUUAUCAAAAAGGAAAGAGAAACCGCAGCAAGUUAUAAUGCAAUAUCAAUUAGUAUAUCCACCCAACAGUUGUUCUUCUUAAAUCCUUAGCUUACUCAUCCAACAUUGUGUUUGAAACUUUUAACAUUCCAUUCACCAUGUCUUUUUGUUUUCUUUGCUUUUCAACUUCAGUUAUAAGCAACGAGUACAUUUAAAUCAGAAUUUGUGAUAUAAGGAUGAUGUUGCCAAGACAGGUCAAUUAGUACAAUAAAUUAAUAAAAUAAGUAGUGCAGCAUUGUCAUAUUGUCAUCCAAAUAUUAUUUAAGAUAAAAUAAAAGAAGUGGGAUGAUUCAUGGAAUCUAAAACAUCACAACUGUCAUAUAAGUCAUGCUAUUCUAACAUUUUCGAUGAACUUAGACUUUAUUCAAAAAGGUUUUUAUUUAAAAUGAAAUGUUUUUAGAGUUAACUUUGAUGAGAUAUUAUCCCAUGUUAACUAAUGAAAUGAACAAGAUUACCUUGAGAGAAGGAUAAUAAACCAUGCAACAUACAAUGAAACUAAAUGCCACACACGGAUACAAAUAUUUAGGAAGACCCACCAGCAUGCUUUGCAGCUCUAGAAAAUUCAUAGUCAGAUUUAAAGGUUAGGCUGAGAAAUUCCAACUAAAUUCAGUCACUGCAUGUAAUCUUGCCUCUCUUUAUAAUCUUAUUCAUGGACUCUAGUAAUAAACACAGUCAUCACUUAGUGCAUUUUUUUUCUUUUUUUCUUCAGAAAAUUCACACUAGUGGAAUCCUCUGAAACCAAUGGUAGUUUCAGCAGCAUUCCGCUACUUUAAACAUUUUUUUGCCACCAAAUCCAAACUUAGAAUCACUUAAUUCCAUUGGAAUGCAAGCUAGUAGUUGCUUACUCUGUUCCCCAUUAUAUUGACACACUCUUCUUUUUAGUUUUUCCCGAAAAGAACAGCACGCUCUCUUUUUCAAAAUUAUCUAAUCUUAGCAUCACAUUUACCUGAAAUGACAUGGCUUGUUAGGAUCCACUUGAUUUAAAAUGAAAAGACAUGUGGAACUCUCUCCAUCACACAUUUAAAGGAAAAUAUUGACACUUCACAUAUAUUUGACCUACAAGUCAGAAAUCUCCUUUGUUUCUUAAAACUCCAAUCAAGUCAAAUACCUUCACAUAAAAUGAGAUGGAGGAAGUAAUAAUUUUCAUAUUGAAUCUCAUAAUUAAAAGGUCAGUCACAAAGUAACAAAAGUAUUCUCGUGUUAUGGCAGUAUAAUACUGACAUCAUAAUCACUCACUGAUAAAUAAAUUACUGCCAUCAUAACCAGCAAGUCAUAACUUAAUAAUAAACAAAGAAAUUCUUACCAAUGGUUGUCUAAAGUCAGAAGAAGAGAGCCCUAGAAGUCUUCUUAAAGCUUCUUUAUUUUCUAUUUUUCCAUCUAUGUCACUGGCACUGUAUUGGACCUUAAGAAAAUUAUCAGAAGCAGGAUUCCAAGCAGCAGUAUCGAUUCCAUUUAGAAUUCCAGCAAAUUUCUUAGAAUGGGAGUUAAUUGUUGCAUGAAGUCCUUUUCCUCCCUGUACAUUAGAAAUGAAAAUUGACUUUGAGGCAGAAAUUCAUCAGGCAAGGUGUAAAGGAUUGACUAAACAUGAUAACAGAUUGUCAAAAUCACUUUUUUCCUCGCCUAGUAGGAGGGAAUUUUUUACUUGGAACAUGCAUAAGUAAUUUGUAUAAUCAUUUUGUAAAUUGGAUCAUUCUACAAACUUAAAGACCAUCAUGUACCAUAUGAAACAAAGCUUAGAACUCAAAUGGAAGUGCACUCAAUUUUCAAAAGAGCUAGAUCCUUCUGCCAAACCACCUUUGGACUUCGCAGAUCUGAAUAAGCUUCUGAUCAAGUCAAAUAUCAGGAUUCAGGUGUACCACCAAUUUGUUUCAAGGUCUUCUAAAGUUUUGUCAAAAGUAGUAUGUUUUACCAUCUUGAAAAUAUAUUGGCCAUAUGGCAACUUAAAUCAUCAAUGAAGACCUAAAGACAUGAUCAUUGGACCUUAUACAUAAUCAAGGAUGUCUCAGAUCACUUGUUUACAGAAGUCAAUAGAUUUCAAACUGAUCCUUGAAGACACCAGGGGAAUAUUCACCAUCUUUAAUACCAAAGAAAGACAAGGAGAAGAAUAUUGAAGAAGGAAAAAAAAUAUAUUUUGAGACUCUUUGGCAACAACAGAAGUUGUUACUUAUUCAUGAAGAUGGCAACAGGUCAUUUCAGGCUGUGCAGAAACUAUAAUUCAGAAGUCAAAGUCCUAUUUAGUUGUAUUUCAAACAAAACCUAUCAUGCCUCACUAGAGAAACCAAUUACUUAAGUAUAAGAUAAAAAAGAAAUGACUGGACAUGCAUGAAAACAGAAUGUGAGAGAAUAUGCUUACGGAAAUGAAAUUCAUACCUGAACAGAGCGGACCUCUUGAGCAUAAGUUGGUGAAACUGUGGUAACAAUGUUAGAGAACACAAUUGCACCCUGGAACAAGAAAGAACCACAUCGACAACGUAUUAAAAAAGUUGACAUGAAAGGAAAGGAGCCACCAAGAUCAGGUAUAACAAGUUAUCAACAGAUAUUUUGCUACCUUCACGGGAUUUAUUCUAUCAUUUGCUGAAUUGUCCUGCAUCCUAUCUGGUCUGUUCAAGUGAUAAGCAUCAAGACCGCAAGAUGUUAAUUCUGAUGCCGGUGCAGUCCCUUGAUACUCAAAAUUAUGGCAUGUAAAGCAAAUCCUCGCUGAGUCCAAUCCUUUUGGCACAUAUAUUUCCCAAUAAAGUGGUGCCUUCAUGAAACAAUAGAAUCCUGAAUGUAUGAAAAACAGCUGCUAGAAGUUACCACAGAAAUUGGAAUCGAUCUUACAACAAAAGCUGUUUGCCAAUCAUGGCAAUGAAUUAUAUCUGGUCUCUUUUCAGCCUGAAGUAGAAAUUCAAGUGCUACCCUACUAAAGAAUGAAAAUCGUUUGAAAUCAUCGUGCUCUCCAUAAAGUUGUCCUCUACAGAAGAAUUUACCAGGGUGCUGAGGUUCAAUAAAAUAAACUGGAAGGCCUGAAAACAAAAAUAAAUAAAUGAUAUAGCCAAACCUACAGGAAAAAAAUGUAACAAGAAAUGGACCCUUGUGGAGCGUAAAUACUCUUGACCUUCAACAGUGCCCGUCCAGAUAUUAUUGUUGUAUAACCGACCAUCAAAAUAUGACUCAACCACCACAUCUAAGACCUGUAAAAGCAUAACCAUUUACGUAAUCCAAAAUCAUAUCAGAACCUGGCUACUAAGGUAAUGAUGUGAAUGUCAAUUUUUAAGCAUACCUUCAUGUCCUUGAUUGACUCAUACUGCAUACAAUCAUAUUUAGGAAGAACAAUUUCCACAAGGUGUCCUUUUUCCUGCAGAGCUUUGCCAAGACCUGCCACCACAUCCCCUAGACCACCUACCUGUGAGACAGUUAAGGAACGCCUUUUAGAUAAUUUAAACAUUAGGAAUGCCUCCAAUACAGUUGUGCUUAAUAUUAAGUAUAUAAUUUCAUAGUUGUUGCUUAAUUUACCAAAACAUUGACCAUGAAAGCUUAUUAUACAUAAAUAUCACGAAUAAUAUAUUACUUUCUAUCAACAGAAUAUGCAACUUUCAGAGGGCAUAACAGACUAACAAAGAACGAAAUACAAAUAAAAGAAAGACACAAGACCACAACUGAAUAAAUACUGGAUGCAUUUUGAUUAUCUUGCAGAGUAAGGAAUAAAUGAGACUGUUAUGAUAAAUCUUGUUCAGUGUACUUGUUUUUCAUACACUCAUACCACUCAUUGGCCAGCUAUGAUUGCAGCAUACUUUGCUAUACUUGUAGUUUUUGAGAAAAGGAGAGUAUACACUUUUACCAAAUAAACAUUAGCAUCAGCCAACAGGAAAAUGAUUAGGUGCAUGUGAUUCUGGUCUAACCUAGAGUUAUCUGGAAUUAUGAUAAAGAUGAUCUAUAACCAACUCAUACUAAUUGCCUUCAUAUUUAAAUCAAGGUACUAUAAUUAAAUUACUUUUAGUAACUUGUCUUUCCACCCUUAGUACAUCGAUGUAAGGAGAAAACAACUUCGUCCUAAAUACAGAACAUACAAUCCAAUAAUCCAUUCUGAAGAAAUUGUUACACAAAUAAAUAAAGCUUAAGUUUCAUAUCUUCAUCCAACAGAGGAUUGUAAUCCACAGAGGUGAGCGAUUAUACCUUCGCAACAGGCGCCAUCUCGGCUGCAAUAUGGAUGAUAUGCAGUCCUGGACUAUUGGUUGACCAGAAAAGAAACUGCAAGUUAUAUCCUCAAACUAGGAAUAUUCAGUGACGAAUUAUUGAAACCAGACAUACCGUGUUGGUGAUGAAGUAAAUCUAAGAAAUGCCGCUAGAAUUUCACGAUCAUUCUUUUCCUUGCAUGACAUAUAUGCAUCACAAAUACGUCUAUCUCUCUUCCAGACCAGUUCUCUUAACAACUUUGCAUCAUCCUUUGAGAUUUUCUUUUCCAUAGACCAACCUUCAAUCAUCAGCAAUAACCGACUCCAAAAUUCAGAAGGCAUCUCGUCUACAGGUUCAUCGAGAGCUUUUUUUUUAGUUUCAUUUUUCAAAUUAUCAAGUGUAUCUUGAAACUCCUUGACAGAAUCCUGAUGCAGCUGAACAUAAGAUUGUAUCUCUUCAUCAGACCUCUGAAGGCGUUCAUCAAGAAGUUUUAUCUUUUGCUGCAUUUGUUCAUUAUACUGCUGUAAUUUUUCAGAUGAAAGUUUAUAGAUGCUAGCCUCUUCAAGAGAUUCUUCAAGCCUGUCGACCUUUUUCCGCAGCUCUUGGUUUUGCUGUAGCACUGAUAUUGCUUGAUCUGCUUGUUUGGUUGCCUUAGCUAGCAAUGCUUGUAAGUGUUCCACCUUUUCAUAUAAAUUUUUGCACUCCAAUUUCAAGGCAGAGAGCUCCGAAACACCUUCCUGAGAUGCAGCCAGUUUAGAUUCCAACUCACUUAAAGAAGAUUCAAGAACUGAUCGUUCUUUCUCUAGCAUUAAAAUGCGUUCAUCUGUUUCCUUGACUAAGCUAAGCUCUGACUUCAUCGAUUGAAGAUCUUGCUUCAAUAACAUAUUUUCUUUCCUUAACGAAUCACAUUGCUCACUCAAGGAAUUUACAAGAUCACUACGUGAAAGAGGAACUGAAUUAUUCACAUGAAGCACAUUUUCCUCACUGCCUCUGCUGCUAGACAACUCAUUUUUUAGCUUUCCCAACUGGUCUUCUAGAAGUUCCACGUGUAUUUUUUCUUGGGAAGCAACUCUGAGCCGUGCAUCAGUUUCUGCUAGCUUCAUUUCUAAGAUAUUGAUCUUCCCAUGCAAAUCCUCUUUCUCUCCAAGAACUUUUUGAAGUUCUUCUAACGCAUGGACCCGAGCUUCAUUGAGUAGAUGAAUAUCUACAGAUUUUAUUCAGAAGGUGAUGAAGUUACACAAUGAUAUUUUAAUUUUGAUGAAAUUCGCACAAACUUCCCAAGGAGAAAACCUUAAAAUAGCAAAAAUAAGUGAACUUAAAGGAUGAAACCAGAACUAUCUUACUCUUUUCCGCAUUUCUUAUCAUGCCAAUCAAAUCCUUAAGAUGAACACUUGAAGGUUGUCCCUCCUCAUUUGAGUCGACAGACUGUUUCAAUUAUGAGGUAUUCAAUUUAUGAUCCCAAGUAAUUUGCACCAUUAGGAUAAAUUGACAAAAGAGAAAAAUGCAAAAGACGUUACCAAUUAAAGACUACAUAAAAAACAAGGAUCUUUUCAAUUUCCUUAUUGGCGAGGAUCAAGACGACAAAGGUCAUUUGGUAGAGCUUAUUUAUGAAGAUGUAUGACAUGCAUCAAACCUCUAGUGAAUCUUAACCUUUUUGCUCCUAACACAGCAAAUAAACUGGAUAUUAUUUGAUGCUCUAAGUUGUUAUACACUGAUAAUAGAUCAUUCCAUAUUUAUGUAAAUGGUAUUGUAGAUAUUUUAGCUUCGUAGAAAUGUAAGGGAGUACUGGUAGAUUGAGAAGGAGAAGAAGCAAAGAAAGGACCAAGAUAAUUACUCACCUGCAUUAAAUAUAUUGAUUGGCAUGAAAUCUCGGGGGCUUAUAUACUCAGCAGAAAGAAAUGUGGCAUGAAAGUCUGGCAGGUGCAUUAAGCUUUCGUUGGUUAAUCUUUUGGGAAUUUUUUAAUUACUACUUAAACCAUUAAAAGAACUCUGUUUUCUUACAGUAUUUGUUGGUGUACAGAAACUAAAACUCUGGUGUAAUAUUGAAUAUGAAUACAUUGGGGACUGACUUUUUUCUAAUGGAAGCACCCACCCCUGCCACAUAGUUCAUACGUCAUAAUAUAAAUUCUUAUCUAUCAAAAAAGCACAAGGGUACAGCAAUUUAGUUCAAAUGCUGAGAGACACUUAGUUAUUUGUUGAUGGCAAAAUAAGGGCAUGUCUCUUCAAGGCACUCUUUGAGGCAUGCCUGAGAUUUUCAUAUAGCUUUAAUAGGGUUAAGGAUUUGCGAAAAGCUCCACCCAGAGAAUUCAAUGGAAGGGGUAAUUUGGAUGACACACCUGAAAACCCUUAUUCAACACACAUGAAGUGCAUAUCAACUACAAGUAUCUCAUACUCUAUUAUCUCAAAGAGCAUACCGAAUAAGUACUCUCAUCUGAACUUUUGGUUUCCGUCGAAGUGUCAACAUUUUCUUCGAUGGGAACUUCCUGAUUUGAAUUUGAUAGGCUUUGUUUGGACAUCUUUUCAGUAUCAGAAUCUAUAUCAUCACUUAACUGUAGAUCAACAUCUGGUGGGCGUUCGAUAUUUAUUGUCUUGGUUUGUUUUUUCUUAUUCUGCAAACUAGAAAUUUCAAAACAAAGUUAACUAAUGCAGCAGGAGAUAGAAAAGGAGAUUGAUUUCAUCUUCCCAACUAUAUGAUCUACUCGACUUCUAGAAAUACAUUUUUCACCAAUCCAUUUAACUAGCUCCAGAUUAUAUAAUAAAUUACAGCUUCUUCAAUGACAAUUUUUUCAUCUUUUGCAGUUCGAAGUUCCAGGAAUCAAAGCAAUUCAAAAACUCAAAUGACUUCUCCACGAUUACAAAUAUUCAAAUCACAGAACCAACUCCUGCUAACAGAAACUAAAGCAAAUGAUUCUCGUCAACUAAAAUCUAAAUAAACCCCUAAAACUAAUUUAAAACCAAAAAGAAAUAAACUAGAACCAUUUUCCACAACACAAAACCUCAAAACACAAUAAACCAAAUAGCAACUGACUCUCCAUUAAUCAGAAAGUCAAAAACCUAAUUAAACAACUCAAUUAAAAAUAAGUACAAUCAGUUAGUAACAAACCUCAAAUCACUGAACGAAACCAGCUCAAUUAUUUCAGAAAUGUAAUCAGCUGAUCCUUACAAAAUCUAAUUCCGCUUAAUUUCAUGGAAAAACGAAAAAAUAGAGAAUUACAAUACCUAAAAUUGCGGCGCUGGCGCAUUUUGCCGGAAGCUGGAGGCAAGCGUUGAGAAGGUAGUGGAUAGAAUCGAACAUUUACUUGUCUAGAAAGAGAUGCUCCUCCGCACCAUUUUUGCGUGGGAAAACAAUUAGAGAUCUUCAUCUCCAUCUGCAAAAAUGCAAAAAUCUGAGCUGAAAGAAGAAGAAUGAGAUAGAGAGAAGAGAGAAAGGAACAAACCGUUUCUUAGAACCAACGACUCCCUGAAAACUAUUUGGGUGUGUGUUAAUAAAAAGUGCACAUAUCUUCUUUCUUAUUCUUAUUUUUUUCUUCCGAAAACAAGUGCACCAAUCUAAGGACUCGGCGAAGAAAAAGAGGGGAAAUAUCUCGGACUAGGUGAAAUAUAAGAGGAUGAUUCAUUACUACGCUAUGCUUCAUGGAGUGCAUAUGUGAUUUCAUUUUUCGUGAUUAUAAGUGGUGAAUGGUGAUGCCUAAAAUUAACAGUUUUUUAUUUGAAAUAUUUCGUAAUCUAAAAUUAUAAGGUGCAAUUAAAGUUUUGACAAGUUUGAAAAAAUAUUUCAGAAAAAUUGAUUUAGAAUUUUCUAUUCUGAUUUCACUUUUUUAUUUAAAUACAAAAAUUAAGUCAAAAAGUUUACAUUUUCUAAUAAAAAUCACAAUUUGCAAGAAUAUCAAAUGAGUGAUGAAAUAUUAUAUGGUAAUAUAACAAUUAGGCAUAAUAUAACUUGACGUCAGUUGAAAACUAUGAUAUUUAAGUUUUAGUGUGUACAAGUAGACACUUAAACUUGUAAAAAAUUAAACAAGUAGACAUAUUCGUCAUACAUAACACCCCACAGAGUAAUUUUGUGUCUUACAUGACAUCCUACGUUUAUUAUGUAAUGUAAGAUCAGCGGCGGACCCACAUACACUUGUGAGGGUGCACGUGCACCUGGUAACUUUUAAAAAAAGUCCUAUAUAUAUGUAUAGACGGUUGAUAAAAUGAACAUAUAUUCAAUUCCCAGCGAAAGCAAUACUUUUUUUACUUUAAAUUUAAGUCAUUUCUAGAAAAUGAUCAAAAUGAUCUUUAACAAAUGUAAAACAUAUUUAAUUCUAAAAUUUUAUAUCAAGACAAUUCACUCAUUUUUAUUAGAAGUAGGAGUAAUAUGAUGUUCGAUGUAGGAUAAUGCUAUUGCCCGAUAAGGAAACAAGUAUUUGGAUAGAUGGGGCUGGACAGCAAAAAGUACUUAAUAAUUUCCUUGCUGACGGCAUUUUUAUUUUGGUCUCUAUGCACAUGCUUUUAACUCGUGAUAUACUAAUAUAUCUCGAAAUAUAUAAAAUUGAGAAUAGAUAUGAUAUCAAUUAGAUUUAUAGAGAUACCUAAUACAUUUCGUUUGCCUUUUCUUGUUUUUCUCUCAUCUCGCUUGCUAUUACUAUAUGUAUCUGAUAUUUAUCCUAGAUACAUGUGAAUCAUAUCAGAUACAAAGAUACAUAUGAAUCUAGUGUUGUGUAUCUAGAGUUAUUCACAUGUAUCCAGAAUACAUGACUAAUUCCCGUUCCAUUUUGUUCGUCCGUCUUUCUAUUUUAGUGUAAUUGAAAGCAUAAAAAUAUAUGUCACCGUGUAUCGUUCUCAAUAUAUGAUAGAAACUCUUGAAUAAUAUUAAAAUACUUAAUUUUUUAAAAGUUCAAAUAAAAUUAAUGUAUAUAAUAGAGAUAUAUGUCUAAUAAGAUAAUUUCCCUAAAUUUUAAUUAUCUGCCCAUAGAUGUUAUCUAGCCAGAGGAAAAUCAAGUUUCAUUAAACAAUAUUCUAUUUUUCAAUUAAUAUGCCUAAAUAAAUAAAUAACAAAAAAUUAUAAGGAAACUCUUCCUAAUAUAUUUGAUUACUUUUUUUGCUAGUAUCGCAUCCAUCACUACUAAAGGUGGUAAAAAGCUAUUUUAUAUAAUGGGUAUUAGUAAAAUUCAAUCUUAAAUUAAUUAGAAAGUAAAGUAUAUACAAAACAAUUAUAGAAUUUUGAUUUAUAAAAGCUGAUUAAUUCCACAUACAGUAUACAUACACCACUCUAUUAUAUGUAUGCAACUAAUUUGGCAUACAACAUAAAAGGAUAUUUUUUCAUAAAACUAUCUUUACUUUAAUUUAGUCAUCAUUUAUUUUCAACAUGAAAUUUCACUUUGAAAUUUAUAUUGUGGACGUUUGGCAUGGUUUUACUUUUAUCUAAAGUUGAAUUUUAAAAAAUAAAUUGCUCACAUACAACAUAAGAAUAUCUUUUCAAAAAACUAUCUUUACUUUAAAUGUUUAAUUUAGUCACCAUUUUUUUAUAUAAAAAAAACAACAUGAAAUUCCACUUGAAAUUUACAUUAUAAGAGCUUGACAUAAUUUUACUUUUAUUCAAAGUUAAACUCUAAAAAAUACGUUGUUCGUAAAAUUUAGAACUUUCAGAAAUUCUAAAAAAACUUUUCACUCAAAAUUACUCACAAAUAAUUUACAAAAAUAACUCUAAUUUUUAAAUACUGAUAAUUUUCACGCUGAAACAUCUGUUUCUUAGAAAAAAAUAAAAAAGUCACAUUUUUUAUUAAUAUUUAUCCCGUCUACUAAUUGAAGAUCUAUUCGAAUUUACUAAUUCAAGGAAAAAGGCAAACGUAUGAUUUAUAUUUCAAUAACAACAACAAAGCAACAUCAUUUUAAUAGAAAUACCAAUACAUUAUUAUAAUUUUUUUUAUAUAAAAAAAAAAAACCUAAGCUAGAUCUACCUAGCUAAUUAUUCUAUAUUACAUAGAAUUAUCUUUAGCACAUCACUCACUUUCAAUACCAAUCUAAAUCGUUUGUCGAUCAGUAGACUCAUCCUCAAUUUCGUUACGAUCAUCUUUAUGAUUUAGCUCAUCAAGAUACUGUUGAUAAGCAUAAGAAGAAAAUCCCCAAAUAGCUAAAACAAUUGAAAUUGCCUUCACCCCACUCAUCUUAUCAUUAAAAAUAAUCACAGACAUAAUCGGGAUUAACGGCGCACCCAACGUCGUAAUCACAUUUGCAAACACAGCUGAUACCUUCAUAAUUAAUCCAAGUAGACAAUAAGUAUACAGCUGCCAACACACACUAAUCCAAAUUAAUAUCAUAAUAUAAGCUAAUCUCCCAACCUCAAAAUUAUUCAUCUCCGUCUUCAAAUUCCUCCAGUUUUUUACUCGCGAACAAGCCAAUCAGAAUUAUACACGUGGCAAAGAACGAUUGACAGAUAAUAACGUCCAUAAAUUCUCUCAACGUAGAUUUUUUAAAGAAUUUUCUAAAAUAGAGAUCUGUUAAGGAAAACAGUAGACCAAACAAAGCGGAAGCAAUUAGCGUGCAUAUAAAUCCGAUCGCAUUGUGAUGGUAGGACGAAGCGUUGUUUGAUGAAUCUAUGGCUAGGAGGAGGGAGGAGAUGGUUACGAGGGUGAUAGAAUUCGCGAUGAGAGGGGUAAUUUUUUCGAGUUUCAUGAAGAGGGAGAACAGGACGUUGAAGGCUAAUUGACUUGAGGAAAUAAGAGAGAAUGUUGAAGCUGGGAGAUGUAAAAGACCAAUUGAAAAUAAACCACAGCCAAUUCCAACUAGAAAGCCAAGAAAUACGUAGAUAAAUAAUUUGGUCAUCAAAGAAGGAGAUUUUGAGUCUAAAUUAGGGAUUUUGUUGUUGUUAUUAUUGGUGCAAUUAAAGAUCAUUGGAAUUAAUAGAAUGGGAAAAGCAAUAGUUUCAGUGAGUGAAAUGACCCAGGUACUUUUUCCACCUUUGUUGUAAUACAACUUUCCAAGUAUCGUAGCUACUGUCUGGCUAACAAGUACAAUCAACGCGUAAAUGCCUAUUUCGAGCCAUUUCGUGUACUUAUUAACAGAGUUUGGAGUCGUUAAUGAUUCGGCUGGUAUAACGAUUAAUGCAUCUAUCUUCUUCGUUUUUGGAUCAUCAGUUUCUUCUUGGACGUCUGCCAUGAAUAGAUCAUAAGUUAGCUAGCGUCGUCUUUCUUCAUCAUCAACAUAAAAUUUUUUGUAUAUAUAAUAAAAUGUAAGUUCUAUAUGGUUAUAUAAAAAAAGAUAAUUGCUAAGUAAUUUAAUUUAGUAUAAAAAGUCGACACACAUACUAUAUCAUGUAGAUUGCAUAAAUUGCAACAUCACUUUUCCACUAAAACUUAAGUAGCAAAUGAAGGAAUUUAAAAAUAUGUAGUACUUAAUACAGUAAUGAGCUUUUUAUAACUUUGCCUUAGUUGGUAUAUGUGAGACCGGGACCUCCAACUUUGGAUGUACAUAAGUAGAUACGAUCAAACUUUUAAAAAUUGAAUAAAUAGACGAGACAUAUGUUCUACGUGAAAAUUUGGUUGAGAUAUGUAUACUCAUUUGUAUAUGACAUAUGCAAUAUGUAUAUUUAUCGAUCCAUAUACUUCAUACAAGUUAAUUAAAGAACGUACAUGUGCACAUGAAAUUUAGAAGACAUAUAAAUGUCAGUUAAAAAAUAUACGAAUAAAGAAAUAAAUAUCUAAGAGAAGUGUUUUUUCUUUCUUUGAGUUGGAAGAUGAUUCAAUAAUGUGAGAAAUCUUACUGAUGAUAUCCAGCUCCUUUUCUGCUACAGUUCCCAUGGCAAUUGACAAACUAUUUGUCUUAAUAUUCCUCUCUUUCUCUCUCUUUUUUUUAUGGAUUUAAGGAAAAGGUUGAUCGAAUGAAUCUCAUGUUAGGAUUCUGGUGGUUUUAAAUUGCAUGAGAACAGGGUGGAGUCAGGUAGGGGUGUAGGGCCAAGAGUAGUUUAUUAAAAUCGUUUCGAGAGAAAGUUAUAUUGUUUAUACAUAAUUAAAUUAUCUUUUAUAUAUGUAUAUAUAUAAUAGUAGAUGUGGAAUCCUCUUUGACUUCUUCGUAGGGACGGAGCUAGAAUACGGAUGCGAUUAAACCCAAUAAUUUUUUGUUCGAAUAAUAUAUUUGUAUUAAGAAAGUAUAUUAAAUAUAUACCAAUAUUAAAUUUAGAAUUCAUUUAUUAACACUUCAAAAACGUCGUAUAAAAUAUAGAAUCAUAAGGUUAUUAAUGUUUUAGUUCCCUGCCAUAGGCGGAUCCACAGUUGCAAGGGGUGUACAUGCACUCGUUAAUAAAUUAGGAUAUAAUUAGCCGUGCACUCAGAAGUAUAUGAGUGUCCUUGUGUUGUUGGUACAAACUAGGAGAACCACCCGUGAGACUAGGGUUUGAAUCUAGCUAAAGACUUUUUUUCGCUAAUUUUAUUUUAUGUUUAGCUAGGUAAUAUUAGUGCACCCUAGACUCUUAAAAUCUUUGAUUCGCUCCUGAUUCCGCCUAUGUUUCUUCGUGUGUUUAUUUUUUGAUAUUUUAGUUCCACUUUGUAAAAAUUGGCUUUUAUCAUUCUUGUCACAUGAAGGUAAUACGUAGCACGUAGCCACUUACUAAAUUUUGCAGAAAGUGUUAAACUUUGGAUAAUUGAAAAAAUUGGCUUAACUUAGAUAACAUUCUAUAUAAGUUCAAAUCAAAGUCCUAACGAUGGAGCAGAAAGUUUGUUCUUAAUUAGAUAAUAGGAAGCAUAAUGGAGUAAUUGAGUUUCCUUCUAAAUAUUAUAACAAAAUUAAAUUUACAGCAAAAUGUCAUGGUCAAGUUAAUUAGCCAAUUAUACAAAUUAAAUAAAAGUUGCCCUCUGAUUUGGUUGAUAUAAUUAGCAAGAAACAAAAAUUAGCGUACAAAAAUGGACCUUUCCCUUUUAAUGAAACAAAUUAUAACACAAGAUUUUUAUAUUCGAUUCAUUAUUACUCUUUCUUAAUUAAAUAACAAAAUAUUAGUCAUCUAUUUUGAAUUACCUAUUAUGGUAUACAACGUAAAACAUUUGAUAACGGGAUGUUUUUUUGUUUGUCAUUUCUCACUCUCACACACUCACCAUUCUCUCAAAAUUAUUAUUCUCUCCGUGUUAAUUUAUGUGUUUGAUUAAUUUUUUUUUAUAUCAUAUGAAAAUUAUAAUAUUAUUUUUUAUAUUUAGUACUUGUUUAAAAUUUAAAACAAUCCACAUGACGUAUAUAUUUAAGACUAUAAAAAAAAAUGUUUCACAUUUAAUAACAUUACAUACAUCUCUAAAAGAUGCUAUUUUAAAAAUAUGGAAUUUGUAGCUGAUAAACUUUUAAAAUUUGUGAUUGAAAGUUGAUGUAAAUCAAUUAACCGUUGAAAUUAUUGGAUUGUUUUUCUUUAAUUAGCUGAGAUUUUCUCUUGCUUACUAUAUUAUUGAGUUGGAUUCAGUUUUUAAGUUCUUCUAAUUCAAAAUGAGAUUAAAAUAAUUGAAGUUCUUCAAUAGUUCUUUCGUUAUUGAUCAUCAAAAUUUCAAAGUUGUUGAGAUUUUUGAAGAAUCAUGUGUAUUGGAAAGUUGAGAAUCAUGAAUACAAUUGUUUUUGAAAUGGUCAAAAAAAGAAAAAACCUAGACAUAAUUACAUUGUUGAUGUUAAUUAAAAGUUUCAUUUAGGAUGAGUUCGGAGAGAAUAUCAUUAAUUAAUAAUCGUGUGUUCUCUCUUAUAGUUUUUUGAUGAGAUGAUCACAUAAUUCAACAUGAUAUUAAAUUAAACAGAACAUCUGGAAUGAGAUUUCACUGUCACUCAAAUUAAAAAGAAUUUGAAUAUUGGUUGGAGCAAGAAUAAUUUGGGUCCUUCGAACUCCAACCCUCCGUGAUAUUUGUAAAAUUAAUUAAAUAUGACCUUUUCCCCUUAAAUAUAAGGAAAAUAGUCAAAAUGUCUUUAAACGACAUGAAAUGAAAAAGAUAUCCUUUGUUUAUGAUUUGGUCCAAAUAUAUUAAAAUAUUUAUAUAAUGUUAUUUAAUGAGUCAAAAAUGCUCAUUUUCCAAAUAAAUAUAUUUUUUAUUUACUUUUUACCAUAUAUUUUUUCUAAUAAUAAUUUUUAAAAUUAGCAAAUGUUUUUCCUAUUUCAAAAAAAAACAUAUUUCAUAUUUUAUUAUAAUUAUUUUUAUUGUUAUAUAAAAAAAUUUAAUGAUGAAUUUACAAUGAUCUUAUAUAUAUGACAUAUAUUAUCCGUUGAAAGGAAUAUUGAAAUAUUUAUUUUAAUUGAUAAAUGAGAUUAAGAAGAAAAAAAAAUAUUUGCUACAAUUUUAUUGGUGAAUGAGAUUUUAAAAAGAAGAAAACAAGAUUAGGUCCUUUAAUUAUAUUUUAAUUAGGAAUAAGACGUAUUUUGAAAAGAAAAUAAAUAGUAUAUUUAUUCGGACAAUGACAUUUUUGACCCAUUAAGUAAAUUAUAGGGACAUAAUUUGAUUUAAGUAUUUAUUGCAAGGUUUUGAAUUAAAAUAUUCGUGACAAGAACAUUUCUGUAUCAAACUAUAAACAAUAAAUAUUUUUAUUCAUUUUACAUUAUUUAAUGAUAUUUCUGACCGUUUUUCCUUUAAAAAUAGGGAAAAGGGUCUGAUAUACUCCUCAAUUUUGUCAUUCGGAAAUAAUAUACCCCUAAUUAUGAAAGUGACUCAUAUAUAUCCUUACCAUUAUACAAACGACUCACGUAUAUCCUUGCCGUUACAAAAUGAGCUCACAUAUACUCUUUAUUUAACGAAAGUGAAAAAAUUAGUUAUAAUUUAUAUUUUUUACUUUUAAUUUUAAAAAAAAAAUUAUAUAGGGUAUAUAUGAUUCUUCUAUUUAAGUGAAAGGUAUAUUUUAAUUUUUUUCAUACAUAAAUUAUUUUUUGACUUCUUUUAUUAUAAUUAUUUGAGUUUCAUAUUCUUAUUUUUUUCUUUCAUUCCCUAGUGUAAAGAAAUAUAUUUAAAACUAUUUUUUUUCUAUAUUGUAAUUUAAUUUUUUUAUAUUCGAAGAAAAAAAUUUGGUCAUCUACAAUAAGUUUUACAAGAAUAUUAGUGAAACAUAAAUAACUUUGAUUAUCAAAAUAAUAAUUCUAAAUUAGUCACUGACUAAAAAAAGAUCAAAAAAAUAUGUUUGACGAGGAUUAAAUUUACUUAUAUGGGAUUAUUUUUUAGAAAAAAAAAGUUGGAUUAAAUUAUUUUUUUUCAUUUCUGUUAAAGGAAAAGGGUAUAUGUGAGUCAUUUUUUUUUAUAAGUAAAGGUAUAUAUGAGUCACUUUCAUAACAAGGGAUAUAUCAGCUCUAAAUGAUAAAGUUGAGGGGUAUAUCAGACUCUUUUGGAUUAGUAGACAAAGGACAAAUUGCAAACCAAAAUUUUAAAUUUGGCCAAACCCAUCGGUGACCGCUUAAACUUAGCACCAAUUUUUACUUAGACACCUCAAUUAGGCGAUUUCAUUUUAGACACCUCGGUAGGGUUCUGUUGUGUCAUUUUGACACUUUUCUGACAAUAAAUAAAAAACUAAAAGAGAAUGUAAUACACGCUUUGAUGAUGUAAUAAACAAUCAAUUAAAUAAUAACAUGUGUUAUUUUCAAAUAAAAAUAAUUAUAAAAUCUAGUUAGUAAAUAAAUUAAAAAUAUUAUUCUAAGAGAAUCUCUUAUAUCAUUACACUCAAAAUCUCUUGUGUUUUUUCAAAAAAAAUUAUUUUUUUCUUUUACUAUUUUUCUUAUUUAUUCAUCUUCUUUCUUGUUAGUGUUGUUUUUUGGAAAGAAAAGAGAAAGAGGAAGAAAGAAAAGAGAAUAAAUAUGAAAUAUGGGCGUUGGUAUCCAUUUUUCUGACAAAAAAUGGAAGGAAGUGAUGAUAGAUUUAGAUAAGUAAUACAAUGAAGAAGAAGAAAAUGACUUAAAAAUGAAUUUGAAUUAAAAAUUUAACCUCCAUUGAAGAAAUUUAAGCUUGAAAAAAGAUAAGAGGGUGGUGGCUUGAAAAAUGGAGAAGAAGAAGAUAAAAUAAAAUUAAAAAUGGCUAAAUUAAGUCUUUCACGCGCUAUUGUUGAGUGUAUCACACUCACUUUGACAUGUCAGCAAAAGUGUCAAAAUGACAUAACAGAACUCUACAUAAAGUGUUCAAAAUGAACAUGAUCUAAUUAAGAUAUUUAACUAAAAAUUGAUGACAAAUUUUAAUGAUCACCGAUGAAUUUGACCUUUAAAUUUUAAGUGAAAGUAUGAUGCCACAUAGGAGAUUCUCCAUAAACAAAUGUUUCCAGUAAUUAGGUGAAAAGAUUAGUACAAGAAUCUUUUUCCAACUGAAAGCAAGUUCACUAUAUCUUUUAGGUGAAGUAAAAUCCAUUAGUUAUGGGUGUGUUUGGUAAGUUAAGGGUGUGUUUGAUAUGCAUAAAAAUAUUUUUUGGAAAAUAUUUUUAAUUUUUUCAUGUUUAAUUAGAUUAACUGUUUUAGAAAUUAUUUUUCAAAUUAGUUCAUUUUUCUCACUUAAGAAAAAUAUUCAAAACUCUCUUUCAACUUUAAAUUACAAUUUAUCCCCCCGUUUGAAAACUCUCUUCCAACUUCAAAUUAUAAUUUAUUCCCCUCCCCAUACACCUCCUUCAAAAAAAAAAAAUUAAGUUUAUUUUUAAGAAAUAUUUUCUACUUCAAAAUUUUAUUGUUUUCACCCCUACCCUCGAUUCUUCCCCUCCCCCAACCAUAAAAAUUUUAAGUUUGUUCUUAAAAAAUAUUUUCAACUUCAAAAUUUUAUUUUUUCACUCUGAUCCUCGACCCCCCUCCCCUACCCGGCAGGCCCAAAAAAAAAUAAUUUGAGUUUGUUUUUAAAAAAUAUUUUCAACUUAAAAAUUUACUUUUUUAUCCCUACCAUCGACCUCCCCUCCCCAACCAGCCCCCCACCCUCCAGAAAAAUUUUAAGCUAAUUAAAAAAAUAUUUUCAAACUUCAAAAUUUUAUUUUUUCACCUCUACUCUCGACCCCCCUAUUCCUCAAAAAAAAAUUAAGUUUGUUUUUAAAAAUUAUUUUCAACUUCAGUUUUUUAUUUUUUCACUCUUACACUAAAAAAAAUUAAGUUUAUUUUUUAAAAAUAUUUUCAAUUACUCUAUUAAAAAUAAAAGAUAUUUCUCAAAAUUUCAUUCAUAAAUCAAAUCCUAAAGAAAUUUGAAAAAUAUUUUCUACUCACCAAUCAAACAUGUAAACUGAAUCAAAAAUCUAUUUAUUUUUCAGAAAAAUAUUUUCUUUCGUACCAAACACAACCUAAAUCUUUUUCAUUUCUAAAAGGUGUUCAAUUAUUGAAAAGAGAUCAAAUGCACGUCGAUCGAUUUCAUACACAAAGUAUGAGCUUUGUCACGUGAAACGAAACAGAAGGAAUAACUCAAAGAAUGUAUUACGAUUCUCCAUAUUUUAUAUUUUAGCUUCAUAAAUGAAAAAAAUUAUGAUUUUCAUAAUAACUUGGGCCCCUAUGGCCCAAUUCAGUUCGAUAUGUCUGAAUUGAAUUGUAUAUGUAAUGUAAGAUGUGUGUAUAUCUAUUAAAUUUUAAGCAUAAUAAAUAAAUAUGAUUUUUAGUUUGGCUUUAACAGAUAAUUAUGUCCUUUAAAAUUUGAGUGUGCAUGAGUAAACACUUAAACUUGUACUUCAUAAAAUUGAAUAGACACAUAUGUCAUACAUGACAUAAGACACAUAAGAUGUCAUAUAGGUUACAAAAUUUCCAUAUAAAGUGUCAUGUAGGACGAUUGUAUUUACUUGUUUAAUAUAUAAGUUUAAAUUUCUAGUUAUGUAUAUUCGAAAUUGAAGAUCAUAGUUAUCGAUUGACGUCAAGUUAAAGAGUAAAGAAUAUGUGUUCCAUAUUGCAAUCAUGACAGUCUGGAUCCAUUACACAAGUAAAACCAACCAAACUAAAAGGUUUUGUACGUAUGUCACAUAGUGCCUAACUAGAUGUCAUGCAAAACAUGCUUCUCAAAAAUACGUUUAAAAAUACUGAGUUCUGGUCCCUACGUUAAAGUUUACUGAAAUUUCUACUUUCCAUCAUUCAAUAAUUCAACACUCCCUUCGUUAUAAAAUAAAUGACUUAUUUUUUUUUAAUUUGUUUUAUAAAGAUUUUUAAAUUUUUUAAUUAAUUUUUCACAUAACGUAUUUAAGGUUAUAUAAUUAAAAAGUAUUUUGAUAUAUUUCAUAUAUUUUAAUUUAGGAUCACAAAAUUAAAAAAAAAAAAGCUUAUUAAUUUUCUUAUAUUUGUAAUCAACUCAAACUAGAUCAUCCUUUUUGAAACUAAGAAUGAGUUUAUUUGGAUUUGUUAAAAAGUUGCUUGUAAAUUUUAAUUGGUUAAUGAUUUUUAUUGAAUAUGGAGUAUUUAGGAAAAAAGGAAACAUACCUUGAACUAUCGUAAAUGGUAUGCAGAUACCGUAAAUGGUAUGACGAAGGGUAUUUGCAUACCAUUUACAAUAGUUCGGGGAUAUAUCUGUCAUUUUUCUGAGUAUUUAUGAUUUGAAAAAAUAAAGGCAUAAUACAUAUAUUGGACUCUAAACUUGGCUUCAAAUUUUAACUUUGACUUCCAACUUUCAUAAUGCACAAACAUACACUUUAACUAUCCAACUUUUAAGUAAAUAAACACAUACGUCUUACAUGACAUAAUACUCAUAGGACAAAAAAUAAUAUGUAGGACAUGUGUAUCUAUUUGUUCAACUUUAUACAAGUUUAAGUGUCUAUUUGCGCACAUCCAAAAUUGAAGUGCAUUAAUGUAAUUUAAAGUCAAACUAAAGAGCACAUUUAUAUAUCAUUCCAAAAAUAAAUAUCAAAGCAAAAGAACACAUUUAUAUAUCAUUCCAAAAAUAAAUAUCAAAGCAAAAAUAGUUGUCAAGCUUAAAGUAAGCCAAGAAUUGCUUUGGGCUUAAAAACAGUUUAAAAUUAAGUUAAAUUUUACCAAAUACUCAGAAAAAAUAAUCAAAAUAACUUAAAAGUAGCUCUAAAUCCCAUCCAAGUAUCUUAAAAUCCUUACUAAAUUCGGAUCUAACAAGAUUUUUUUUUAUUUUCAGAGCUUGAACUCGAAACUUCUGAUUAAGAGUGAAGCAAUUUCAUCACUCCACCACAAUUCAUAUCGAUGGAUUGAUUUGUUAAUUACUUUAUAUUAGGAAGGGGGUAAGGUAUGCCUAAACGUAACCCUAUUGGAUAUUUACAUAAACUUAAAUUAAUUAAUUAAUGUAAUUGAUAGGGUGUCACAAGCAGCCUCUUUUAAAAUGAACUAAUCGUGAUUAGUGUUGAUUGAUACCUUCAUUCCAUUAGACCUCACCUUCUCCAGACAAAAUUUCAAUCCUAGAAAACACUAAAUUAAUCGAUAUUUAUCGGUGAUUCUUAGCUAAUUAAAUUUAUUAAAAUUCAUUAUUAUUCGUUGCUAAAUAAGACUAGUACGAAAUUUUUAUUGUUUAACUAGAAAAUUUUGUUCAUCGCUAAUUCCUUAUGUUGUAGUAGUAGUACAUUAAGUGUCAUUUUUAACCCAAUUAACUUAUAUACAUUGACAAACAAAUACAAAAGCUCUAUUUAAAACAAACACCUUAUAACAUUAACUUAGCAGAAGAUAAUAAUUAGAUAAAACAAAUUAAGAAAGUAUACAUAAAUUUACACAGCAUUAAACUUUUGUACAAUUAAUACUAAUUAGCUCUAUGAUUCAAUCCUGUUUCAACAAGUGAUACUUCAGCUUCUUCUUUUGCCUUUGAUAACUCAAUUUUGAGGUUCACUUCAUCAAGAUAUUGCUGAUAACCAUAUGAUAAAAAUCCCCAAAUUGCCAAAAUCAUUGAAAUUACUUUCACUCCACUCAUUUUCUCAUUGAAAAAAAUGAGAGCAAGUACUGGAAUUAGUGGCACACUUAACGCAGUAAUCACAUUAGCAAAUAAUGCAGAUACUUUCAUAAUCAAACUUAGUAAACCAAUUGUGUAUAUCUGCCAAGCUAAUGCAUUCCACACUAGUGUCAUUACAUAUGACACUUUCCCAAGCUUAUACUCAUUCAUCUCUCUUUUCAUCCAUCUCCAUUCGCCGCUCGCGAAUAGUCCAAUCAGAAUAGUACACGUGGCGAAAAACGACUGCCAAAUCACUACGUUCAUCACCUCUUUCAGUGUGCGUUUUUUCAUUAUGUUUCUGAAAAUUCGCUCUGUUGCUGAUAACAGCAACGCGUACCCUGCUGAACCGAAGAGAGUGCAGAUGAAUCCGAUUAAAACGUAGCCUUUACCUUUCGAUGAACCGGUUGAUGAGGAAUCGUCGGGUUGGAACACAAGGAGAAUUGAGGAUACUGUGAGUAGGAUAAUUGAAUUAGCUAUAUAAGUUGUUAUUUUUUGGGAAUUGAGGAAGAAGGAAAACAGAGCAUUGAAUCCCAAUUGGCUAGCGGAAAUUAACGAGAAAGUUGAAACGGGUAGGUGUAACAGUCCGACUGCAUUCAACAUACAGCUUCCGCCUAAUAAAAAGCCGAGAAAAACAUAGACCGAUAAGAACAUCCAUACCGAUGGUUUUUUAUUAUUACUAUUAAUAGUAUUCUUAAUCAGGUCAUCCUCGUCUUUGUUUUCUUCCCUCUUCUUCAAGAAGAGAAUAGGGAAGAGUAUCGGGAAUCCGACCAUUUGUACGAGUGAAUUCAUCCAAGUGCUUUUUCCACCUUCUCUGUAGUAAAGCUCUCCGAGGAGUGUUGCAGCUGAUAAGCAAACUAGAACCAAUGCAGCAUUAAAACUUAUUUCAAUCCAUCUAUUGUACUUUUCACGCCAUGAAUUAGUCGAAUUAUUCGCCAUAUUUACUUCCUCUUCAACUAUAUGAACUAGUAAAAAGAUACCAAUUAGUUUAGAGAAUUGGUAAAGCAGAAAAGAAAAAGAUGAAGAACGAAAAGUGUGAGAAGAUAAAGCUUACGAGAAAUAUUGAGCUGAUUUUCUACUUGUGGUUCUCCCAUUGGAAAAUUGAGCAAACUUCUUCAAAAAGUUAAAAGAAUAGUCGGUUUUUAAUUUUUUAUUUGUAGUAAAGUAGCUAUUAAUAUCUGAUUUUUUUAAUGAAUUUGUGGGUUUAUUUAUUUAGGGAUGGGUAGGUGGGGGUCGCAUUUGGAGCAGGUGAGGAAUGUGGGGAAAUGCGAAGAGAUAAUAUUUCUUAAAUUAUCGUCGAAUAAGUUUCACUUUAAAAAUUCAAAUAAUAAUUAUCGAGAUAUUAUAUAUAUAUAUUUAGUUAGGUUCGCAAUUACUAUUGUUAUUUUAAUUGAUGUAAUUUUUGCUUGAGUAUUAAAAAAAAUAGUAUACUAAUAUUUGUUUCCAAUGAUGAAAUGUGCAUUUUUGAAAAUAUAGUAUAGUGUGUACAACUAUUCUCGUCUAUUCUUUUGUUUGUUUUUUUCUUCUUUCUACCCAACUUGUUCUAAUUGUCCUUCCAGGAAGUCACCUUCAUGAUUAUUUGAUGUUUAUUUAUUUUGAAUCAACUACUUUUGAUUAGCAUUAACGGUUUCAUUCUAAAGUAAAAUAAUUUUUUUUUAAUCAAAAAUGACUUCAUAUCCUAAAAAUUACAUUUAAUAAACUUGGUUUGCAAAAUUUUAAGGUUAGAAGUAUAGUAUUAAAUUUAAAAUUUUGCCGAUAAGAUCAACAAGCGAGUUUAAAAAUGUGUCUCCUCAUUCUGGUAAAUUACUCUUUUAUACUAAAAUACAAAUAUGAAAUUUCUAAUUAAUAAUGAAACUGAAUUUAUCACUGUAGCCUAAUCUUAAACGGUUAAACGUCACAUUUCUUUUCACCGUAUAAAACAAGUUUGGAUUAGGAACAUGAGCUGUAUUUUGCUAUUCUUAACUAAUUGUCCUAAUCAAAUUAUUGAACGUAAUUAACUAAUGUGCAAUAUUAUAUCAUUGUGAUUCGUGCACUAAGCAUACUCUAUGUUUGUAUUGAGUUGGUGGAGAAGUUAUAUUUCAUGGGAAAAUCUAAAAUCAAAUUCUAACUCUGGUAUCUAAAUGUUGGAAAUAGUUUUGGCUGUGAAUAUUUAUGAAUUAUGCUAAUUAGUCACUAGUAUAUUUGUAAACUAGGGUUUAUAUAGAAAAACAUUUUACAUUUGCUUAAAGAAUAUAUAAGAUAUGAACAAAAAAAAUACAUUUGUUUCGUGAGAAUUUUCAAUAAACAAUGACUCAUCACAUCAUAAAUCGUAACUGUUGUAAAUUUACCUCCAACCUUCUACAUCUUCAAAAUUGAAUUUACCAAAAAAUUUCAUGAAAAAGAGAAUAAAAGAGAGUACAAUACACUUGAACAUCAAGAGUCAAGAUCGUUCAAUUAAUAUAAUCAUAAAAUGAUUAGUUUUUAAUUAAUUAACAUCAUCGUUGGCGUUAGUUAAUUAUUUUAAUAUGCCUAUUAGUUCAACUAGACUAAUCUUAAAGAUUUGUUGGAGUAUUAUAAUUUAAAUAUGAUAUUUCCCAUGUGAUUAUUUUUUUAGUUGUUCACUUACUAGAUUGACUUGAAUGGUGAAUUGGAGACCUUAUUUAAUUAUUUCCCAUUAUCACAAAUAAAAAGCAUAUAUAUACUCCAAUAAAACCAACAAAAGGGGAAAAAAGGUUUAAAGUGAAAGUAGAAAACGAAAAUAAUAAAAGCAAAAGGUGGAAGUGACAUUUUGAUUACAAAACGAUAAGUCUUCUUGAAACAAAUUUAUUGGAAUUUGAUAUUUACGUCAAAUUAAUUUAUGGAUAUAAUGUAAUAUUUAAUUAUAAUAAGUUGUAUUAAAUUAAUUUAUGGACGUAAUGUAAUAUUUAAUUAUAAUAAAUUAUAUUAAUUUAAUGUAGAUAUUUGAUACUUAUAAAUAUUUAUAAGUCCUGUGCUCCUUUUUUGCGCUUUUUAAUUCGUUAAUUAUUUUAAAAUAUAUAAUAUUUUUUUGAAAUUAUCUUUAAGUUUUCAUUUUAUGAUUUAUGAUAUUAUUUUAUAGUCAUAUAAUUAUUUAUAACUUAUUUUAGAUAAUAAUUUAAUUUAAAUGAGAAAAAAAACAUUUUCUUAAAUUUUGAAUCUAUCUAAUAUUUUAUUACAUAAAUGGGAUUGAGUGGGUGAGAAAUAUUUUUUAACAAAAAGUAUUAAGGUAAAAGUUCUCAAUCAUUAUGAGUGACAGGAAAACCAGAAAUAAUAUGUUUGAAUUUUAUGAAUUGAGAAAUCACUGAGAGGAAGUGCUUCUUCUCUUUAAAUUAAUUAAUAAUUGACUAUUACACAAGAAAAUAAAGGGAAGAUUAAGCUUGUUUUGUUACUGAGGGCCCGUUUGGAUGGGCUUAAUAAAAGCAGCUUUAAAAAAAUACUUUUGAAAGUGCUGAAACUUAUUUUUAAAAUAAGCAGUUAUGCGUUUGGAUAAAAGUGCUGAAGUUAAAUGUAACGACCCGUUUAGUCGUUUUGAGCAACAGACUUCAAUUCUGGAAAAACUGGCAGAAGCGACGGACCCCACGACGGAACGUCAUGGGCACGACGGACCGUCACAGGGUCUCGUUUCAAAACACUUAGAAAAUCUGAAAUUGGGUACUGAAAAUCGACUCUCUGAACUUUGUGACGGAAUGGCAGGACGGACCAUCACAGGUGUGACGGACCGUCACAGACUUUUCAGAGAAAUUGAGUCUCUGAACUAUGCGACGGACAGUUUGCGUAAUCCCAGUUGGAGUCGGAUUUCUAGUUAAGCUUUAAGGGACGUUUUUGACUAUUCUUGCCUUAAUUAUAAAGUUCGUGGGUUUAUAUUAAUAACUCAAAUUCUUGGGGGUUAAAAGAGGUAAUCCUAAAUUAAUUAGUGGGGUAUUAUUGCCACCUUUUAUUCUUAAUUAUAUACUAAUUAGGGUAAAAGAAAGAGGGUUUGAAUAAGAAAAUAGAAAGAACAAAGAGAGACAGAAAAAGAAAGAGAACGAGUAGAGAGAGAGAGAAACGAAGAGGAUAGCAAGGAUUUUGAGAAGAUAGCUUGUUGAUCGCAAUUCUUCGGUGGAGGUAGGUUAUGGUUUUCAUGCUUUCAUAGUAAACUCUUAAUAGAGAAUGAUAUGUAUUAGUAGUAUUGUAAACCCUACUAUAUGCUUAAUUGUAUGUUUGCAUGAAUAUGAUUAUGUGAUUGUGAUAAGAUAACAUGAUGAAAAUAUUGAAUCCCAAAUCUUGAAAAGAAACUUUAAUAUACAUUAUUAAUGAUGAUGCCUUGGUAUAGAAGAAGGCUUUAUGAAUUAAAGUAAUGGGAUUGAUAAUGCCUUGGAAUAGAGAAGGCUUGAUGAUUUACAGAAUGAUAUUAGUGGAUCGGAGUGUCACGUUCCGACACAUAGUAUUAGUGGAUCGGAGUGUCACGUUCCGACACAUAGUAUUAGUGGAUCGGAGUGUCACGUACCGACACAUGUAGGGGAUCGGAGUGUCACGUUCCGACACAUGUAAGGGAUCGGAGUGUCACGUUCCGACACAUGUAGGGGAUCGGAGUGUCACGUACCGACACAUGUAGGGGAUCGGAGUGUCACGUUCCAACACAUGUAGGGGAUCGGAGUGUCACGUACCGACACAUAGUGGUAGGGGAUCGGAGUGUCACGUACCGACACAUAGUGGUAGGGGAUCGGAGUGUCACGUACCGACACAAGAGGAAGAAAGAUAAUGAAUCUUGAAAGAUGUUAAUAUACUCAAUCUAAUGAAUAUAAUUCCCAAAUGAGUAUGGUAUUGAGGCUUGAGCCCUCAUGGAUGAACUUGAUGGUACUUAAUGAUGAUUAUAAUACUUGUUGUUGCUACAUGUUGAGUUUUAUAGUUGAUUUACGAUAAUAUUGAUAUAUACUGUUCCCUAUUUUGAGUUGACCGAUGAUAUCUACUCAGUACCCGUGUUUUGUACUGACCCCUAUUUUUAUGUUUUUCUUCUUGUUAUUUGUGGAGUGCAGCAAACGUGCCGUCAUCUUCGACUCAACAGUAACUCAAGCCAGUCUUCGUCACACCGGAUCUUCAGGGUGAGCUAACGCUUCUAGCUUGGUCUGGAUCUUCUCCUUCAUGUCUUGAUGCCUUGAACUUCCGGCAUGGACUAGCUUCUUAUGUAUUUUUAUCUUCUUAGAAACUCUUAGAAUUAGUAGUUGAAAGUAGAUGUUCUUGUGAUGAUGACUUCCAGGUUUUGGGAAUAAUAGAUGUUGAAUAUUGAUAGUUAUUGAAUUGGUUUUUAUUAAUGAGUUUAAGUCUUCCGCAUUACUUUCUGUUGUUAUUACAUUGAAAUGUUAAGGUUUAGAUUGGUUGGUUCGCUCACAUAGGAGGGUAAGUGUGGGUGCCAGUCGCGGCCCGGAUUUGGGUCGUGACAUUAAAAAAAAGUUGUUGAUGUGUUUGGCAAAUAAGUGGUGAUAAACAGCUUUUUAAAUCAAAAUGUCUGAAAUAACCUUAAAAGUUGUUAACAUAAUAAAAGUUAAUUAAUUUAUAUUUUACAGCCAUAAAUAAUUAUAUUUUACUAUCAUUCACAUAUUUCUUUUUCAUCACAAAUUAUUUUCUUUCUCAUCACAAAUUAUUUAUAAAAGGAAUAUAAACUUAUUAUAGAUUUUAAAGAUAUAUAAUUUGAAUAGAUUAAAGAACGAUUUAAGAUUUUAUUUUAGUUUCAUCCAUAGGUAAUAAUAAUUGUCUAUCAUUCACAUAUUUCUUUAUUAUCACAAAUUAUUUAUAAGAGGAAUAUAAAUUUUUAUUUAAGUUAUAUGUGCAACUUAUUUUACAUUUUAAUAAUAUAUAAUUUGAAUAGAUCACUUGAAAGAUUUAAGAUUUAUUUUAUUUUCAUUCAUUAGUAAUAGUAAUUGUCUAUCAUCCACACGUAAAAGGAAAAAAUUGAAGAAAGAGAUGUUAGAAUUAUGUGGGUAAUUUGGAGAUUGUAUAAAAAUAUUAAGGGCAAAAAGGUAAAAAUGUGGUCAACUUAAAACAGUUUAUAAGCUGGAAAAAAAAAAGCACACCUACCCCAGCUUUUAACUUUUGGCUUAAAAUAAAUUUUUUUAACUUAAAAUAAGCUGUUUUGAAUAUUAUCAAACAGCUAAAUAAGUCAAAAACCAGCUUUUAAGUCAAUUUGAUCAGCUUUUAAGCUGAGCCAAACAGGCUCUAAGUUUAUUAAGAAAACUACUUUUUGUCAUGUAGGAGCAAGAUUAAUGAUUAGUACUACAAAAAUAGUAACGUUAGGUUUGUUUAUUUAAUGAUAAUUAAUUAAUCAGUGCAACUUGAACCUCAACUUAUUACUUAAGUACGAUAAAAUUGGUACUUAUAUUUUAGAAUAAAUAUCCGGUUAAUACACUAAACCAUUCUUAUUAUUAAAGCAUUAAUCUGAUUAUAUUUUUUUGAAACAAUGGGCUUGAUUGGCCAAUUAAGUGAAAGUUCUUAGAUCAAUAAAGUGGUUGAAAAUAUUAUCUCAAAUUUAAAAAUUUAGCGAAGACGAAAAAUAUUAGAUGAUGAUAUCAUGUGAUAUUAGUCAAGGUGCACGAAGUUGGCCCUUUUACCCUUUCUAGAAACCUAAGGUCUAGUGCCUGGUGGAGCAUAAAUUUGAAGGAGAAAACGCACACAACUUUCACAUAUAACAAACAAAAAAUUCAUAUUUAUAUGCUAUAGCAAAGUUUGCAUAAUUGCGCUCCAUAGUAAACAUAAAACUGUAUAAUUCGCUAUACAUAUACAAUUGUAUAAUUCGCUGGCUUAAAUUGUAUAAUUUGCUAGCCUAAAUUGUAUAAUUCGUUGGCCUAUUUCGCUGCAAUUGUAUAAUUUGCUCUGCAUACAGUUGAAUCGAAUUAAAAUGUAUGUAUAUUGCAUAAUUAUAAGUGUAUAGCAAGAAGAUAUAUGUUUUUCUCGCUUUAUACAAAAACAGAAACACAAUAUAUACACUUCUGUUGUAUAAAGCUAGAGAAAAUUGUAUUUCACUGCAAUUGUAUGAUUCGUUGGCCUUUUUCUCUGCAAUAUUUGAAGUAAAAUGUUUGUAAAUUGUAUAAUAAAGUGUAUAACACGAAGAUAUACAUUUUUGCAUGUGUAUAUACAAUUUUCUCUCGCUUUAUACAAAACGGAAACAGAAUUAUACACUUCUGUGUAUAAAGCGAGAGAGGUGAGCGAGAAUGGAGAGUGGCAAGCGAUAUUUUGGGAGAGAGACGCUGGCAAAUUUUAGCUAAUGUUUGCUAUGGAGCACAAUUAAAUCAAACCCUAGCCAUUCCAUUUAAUUUAGGUUUUUAGUUUGCUAUUAUAUACAAUUUUCCCUUUAUGCUUCGUACUGUCCAGCGUACUGAACCUCAAUUUCAGCCCAAUAAUGAUUGGGUGUUUGGCCCAACUUAGCUCACAUAAGCCCAAAUUCGUGAAAGGCUGACUCUAAGAUCAAUAUUUUGGGCACUGUGUGUCCCAUUUUAAGGAAAAAUUGUGUCUGAAUAUCUUUGAUCGUCUAAUUUACAAAAUAUGUACAGUGCAUCAAUAGUUUAUAUUUUAUAUCGCAUAUACAUAUAUUAUAUAUACUUAUACACAAUAUAUACGAUUGAAGUCUAUAUAAGUAGUGUAUACCUCUACCAUAUUGGUAAAGUAGAUAGACCAAGGAUAAGUUUUAUAUAAAUUUUGUGCUCUGAUGUGAGGGGUUAAAUUAGCGGAAACGGUAAAAUUUAUGAAUGUCAUAACUCAUAAUUCAAAUAGCCUACUUAAAUUACACUUUUCUCCUUUGGAGAAAUAUAGAUUAAAUUGAUCGAUCACAUUAAUUAGUCGAAGGAAUGUGUUCUUUUGAUGGAACUUAGGAUCAACUCUUGUUCAAAGCUUGUAGAGUCACAUAUAUAUAUAUAUAAACGAGAUGUCGCGUCUAACCUAAAAAUAUUUUUAGUUUUUCGAAAAAAACCAUAGUGCAAGAAAAGGAAAGUUAGAAUUUUUUUAAAUUUAAUUGAAGAAAGAUAUAUUUUUUCUGGUAGAGCUGGUGACUCAACUCUUAUACAAAAUUUGUUGAAUUAUAUAGUAUUGUUAGGAUAUUUUAUCCCGGACUAGGGGACAAGUCAAGAGAAUUACUAUUGAAUCGAUAAAUAAGUGUUAUAAUGGACUUAAAGCUCAUUGAAGAGAGAUAUAAAUGCCUCAAACCUGAAAAUAUUUUAUUUUUUUCAUAUUUUUUUUUUAUUUGGAAUUGUACUUUCGCCAACAAUGGACAGUCAUGAUAAGAUACAGUUAUUAUAUAUUACAUCCUUUUAAUUAUCUGGCAUUAUUUUAUCAACGAAAUUGUUAUACAACAACUUUUGUCAAUUCCAAGUUUGUUAAAUAAAUUCAUUUAACUAACCAAAUUCAAACUAGAUCUGCUGUCAUACUUCAUUUUAUCAAUAAUGUGGAAUAAAAUAAAAAAAGUUGUACAAUUAUUUCAAUAUUUUUAAGCUAUUAUUCUUUAUUGAUAUUAUCGUACUUCACGAUGUACUCGCUUCGUUCACUAUUUUUUGUCAUAAUCUUUAUUUUCAGAGUCAAAUUAUAAGAACUUUGAUUAACAUUUUAAGAUUGAUUUUUUCAUCAAAUUGAUAUGCAAAAAGUUGCAAUUUAUAGUAUUUUUCAUAUAGUUUUAAAAUAUUAAAAUUUUUUAUUUGAAAUAUCGAAUUAGUAUAAUCUGAUUUAACUUUAAAAAAUAGUCACACUAACUUUCGAAAAUUAUAACAUGACAAAUAAAAGUGAAAGAAGAGAGUAUAAGAUUUAAAUGACACGACAAAUGCAUAGUAUUUUAAUUUUCAAUAAUUGAAGAUGAUGAGCAAAGAGCUGAAGUAUUACGACCAAGUUAAAAUUUAUUAGUAUUAAUUAAAUUUUGCUGAAUAAGAUAAGUCUGCGAUAUGAACUAUUAAGGAUAAUGCACUUAUCUCAUUAAUUAAUAGUCAACAAUCAACAUAAAUUAAAAUAAAACUAUGGAAAAUUUCAAAUAUAGCUUCACGUACUUCGUUUCUAAGUGAUGUGAUUAUUUUAUUUGAAAAAUUAAUUUUUCAAUAAAACUUUCACUUAUCUAAGAUUUUUAUCUGUUUGAAUGUCAAUUCAAUUGUUUAAUCUUUUCAUGUUUAAAUUGUUAGAGAAAUAACUUUUUGUUUAUUUAAUUUAUAUUGUUCUUCAAUGUUAGAGAGUUUGACACCGGAAAAACGAUGAAAAAACAUAUAAUCUUGUAACGCGAAAAUUAUAUAAGAAAUACGUUUCUUUCAUUUUAAUUUGUUUUUCAUAUUUUAAUUAGGUGAGAGUUUAAGAAAGUAAAUAUUAUAAUUUUAAAUUAAUUAUAUGUCAAAUGUAUCAAAAUAUUCUUUAAUCUUAUAGUAUUAAAUGUCAAGUAAAAAAUUAGAAAAAAUAAAAAAUACUUUUAAAAAUAAAUUAAAAAAAUAAGACGAAUAAAUUAAAACUUUGUUACGUAAGUUGUGGGGUUUAAAGGUCAAGUGAAAUUUUGGCCACUAUUAUAUUGUCAAGUGCUUAAGCAAAAGGGACGAAAGAGCAAGGUAUAAAACUAUAAAUGUAUAAACAUCUAAAGUUAGUUGCAUAUUUAAGUCCAUUAAAUAAUACUUAUUAGAUAUUUAUUAGGCAAAAGCUGGAUUACUUGGAGUGUGUUCGAUAUGAAAAAUAUUUGACUGGUUAAAUUUUAUGAAAAAUAUUUUUUUACGAAAAUAAGUUAUUUAAAAAUGAGAAAAAUUAUUUUUUUAAUAAAAAUAAAAAAAAUAAGUUUUAAAAGUGAUAUUUCAUAUUAAAAAUUAUCUUUCUUAAUUGUCUCUAAAAGUAUAUAUUAAAUAAUAAUUAAUCUAUUACUUUUAUUAAUUAUUACUGUAAAUUAUUUAUGUGUAGCGCCCACCCCACGCUCCUAUCUCUCACCUUUCCAUUACAUUUGUGAUUUAAAUAUACACAAAUAUCUUUUAAGAUAAUAAUUUAUAUAUAUUUACGUAUUGAAAAAUAUAAAAAAAUUUCUUGAAAAUAUUUCCCUCCUCCCAAACACACCCUAUUGUACAUCUAUUCUUAAAACCAUAAAAUUAUUUAAUAUAUUUUAUUUCUGUUGUGUUUAGGGGUGUGUAAAAACCGAACCGACCAAUAAAUCGAACCGAUAAAAUAUUAUUGGGUUAUUGGGUUAUUAGAUUAUUGAGUUUUUAAUGGGUUUAGAAAAAAUAAUUAUUGGGUUAUUGGGUCGGUUUCGGUUUUUACCUACUGGGUUAUCGGGUAAACCAAUAACCCAAUAAGACGAUAGUAAUUUACUACUUUACCUUACCCUUCCUCAAUAUUAAAUAUACAUAAUUUAAUAUAUAAAUAGAUUUAGUAUUAGCUUUUCAGGGUAUGUGAUUUUUUUGUUAGGAAAUUGGUGAGAACUUUGUUGAUUAUCUGGUGGAUCAAGCAACUGUUCAAGAUUGUCUCAUUGAAAUAUUUUAUUUUAGUUUUAAUUCUAGUUCAUAAUUGUAGGCGAUAACUUUUGCAAGUUUGUGAAUGUUAGUAAUUUGAUCAACAUUCAAAAUUUUCUAUUAUGUUUUGGCAUUAAGUUGGUAACAUGUAACUAAUAACAUACGUACUAUUAUAUAUAAUUUGAUCGACAUUUUCUUAUUGGGUUAACUGAAAUCGAACCGAUAACAUCAAAAACCGAUAAAUCGAUAAAAAAUUUCUUAUUAAUUUGUUAUUGGAUUAGCAUAUUUUAAAAUCGAAAACCGAUUAACCAAAUCGAUUAUAUGUAAAACCGAAUCGAACCGACCGAUGCACACCGGUAGGUGUGUUUGUAGGAAAAGGGCAACAGGGGAUGCAUUUGGUAUGAUGAACCAAAAGUAAUCUAAUUUAUAACUAUUCUAUAGAGAAUAAUGUCAUUAAUCAUUUAUAUUCUUUUAUAUCAUUAGAGGGAAUAAUCAAAAUAAUAAUUUUUCUUCUUCUUUUGCAAUUAUACCUUCCCAAGUAUGGUCUCUCGCUAAUUAUCAUUUAAUUUACACUUGCAAAUCUACUCUGGACUUCCAUGUGUCCAAUUCAUGUCCCUCUAAUUUCCAAUAGUCAUACACAAUUGGACUUUCAUAUUAUAUUUUAUGUUAUUUAAUAUUUUAUUCAUCUUAAUUUAUGUGGUACUUUUUAAAUUUGGAGAUUCAAAAAAACUUUAUAUUUGAUAGUAAAUUAUUUAAAUAUUUUUUUAAACAUUUUGAAUUAUUAAUUAUAUGACUUAUAGUACUUUUUACGUAGUUUUAUAAAUAUAUAAAUAUUAUUUAUAAAAAUUUAAAAAAUAUUUUCAAUCAAACUUAAAUUAUUUGACUUUUAAAAAAUAAAAAAUGCUAUGUAAAUUAAAACUAAAGAAGUAACUAUAUUUUGUUAUAAUAAUUAAAAAUUUUCAAACAAACGAUAUCGAUAUAAAAAGGGUUAGAGCUUAUUAUUUUAAUUGUAUAUAUGGAAGUUGUUGGAUUAUAAUAUAUAUGUCGACAAUACACUAAAUUAUCCAUACAAUUGUUUAUUAUGAAUGAAUAUGGACAUCUCAAAAUAUUUAAACAUGUUGUCGACAAUCUAUCCACUCUUCAAAUAGAAUAAGUACAAAGGGUUUUAUCUUUGCUGGCACAAAAGACUUAUUCCUGAAUUUGAAAUAAGGGGCAAGAAGUGUAGCUAUAUAAGUGUUUAAUUACAAAAUUGGGGAAAAUGUAUAAUACAUAAUUUAAGAUAUUUUAUUUUCUAAAAAUUUUUUUCAUUUAAAAUUUUUUAUAAACAUUCAUAUCCUAUUAGAUACAUUCUUUAUAUUAAAGUAGUGUAUCAUUUGCAAUAUAUUGAACAAAUAAUGAAUGUAUUUGAUAGUAAUAAAAAAUUUAAAGUUCUUGUAAUUGAAGAAACUUGUGGGAUAAGAUGCAACUGUUAGGUUCUAAAAUAUGUAAAUAAAAAAUGAAGAGUUGCGAUUUUUAUGAAGAGUUGUGAUUUUAAUAAAAAAAAUUUCCGGUAAGGUACAACAAGAACAUUUUCACACUAUCCAUUUGUUGUCUAUAAUAGAGGAAUUUUCUCUCAUUUUAAUAUAGCCAAUUUUCCAGACUUCUUCUUCUACUACUAAAUAUAGUAUUCUAAGUCUACUUCACUGUCGUUGAGUGGUUCACUAACACCAUGGUUAUAGGUAACGCUUCACCGGUGAGUAAGAUCAUUCUAUCCUGUGAGAAUAUAUUCUAGUAAUCUAGGUACUUGAGAGAAAUAACUUCCUUAAAGGGGCAUUGCGCUUGCAGUGGGAUCGAUUUUCUUUUUUGAGAAAAAAUAUUUUGCGUAUUGUUUCUAAUCUGAUUCUAAUUCUAUUUUUUCUACUGGUUUAAAUUUUCCAAUUUUAAAAAUGCUCUUUAAACUAUGUUAUUUUUUACCAAAUUCUUCAAAAUUUUGUUCUAAACAUGUUAUAAGUUUGAACGAAAAAAUAAUGAUGAGAAACAAUUCACUCUAUUGAUGAAACAUACAUGAAUUCUAGUUAAUAUUUGGUGAUAAAACUGUUGCUCAUAACUGUAAGUUUAGUUUAUCCCAUAAAAGGUAGAAAAGGAAAAAGAAAAUGACUAAUUUGAAAUAACACAGACGAACGGUCAUCUCUAUAAUAUAGUUGACAUAAAUAAAUGUAUAUAAAUAGGUAAUUAAGAGAAAAUUUAGAUGGAUAACCUAAAUUAUAUGUUCCAUUAUUUGUCAUUCCAAAAUGUUUUUAUAUUGAAUCGUCAAUAUAUAUAUAUAUAUAUAUAUAUAUAUUUCUUCAAAGUGUAUGCACAUUUUGCAAAAUCACAUUCGGCAAAAAAUUUUUUUUAUGUUUUUUAAAAUCACAUUUUACAAAAUUGUUGCAGUAGCAGCGAUUUUAUUUUUUCUGGCGGAGAAAUCACUUAUUAUUUCAGUGAUUUUGCUGUUUUGAUUAAUAUAAAAUAUUAAUAUAAAAUUUUAUAUACCAUUUUAAAAUUUUUAUUAAUAUUUUAUACCAUUUAGGUUCCGGACUCUAAAUUAUAGUAGCAUCACAUGCCAAAUAUAUUAUUACAUAAAGUAAUUUUUUUUAAUUUUUUUGUACAUAGAAACUUUCAUCUUUUUUUACUCACGUGAUUUAAAUUUAUAAUUUUAAAAUUAAAUUAAAAGUGUUUACCAUCUAAACAUCCAAGUGCAUCCCCUCUUCUCAAACUAAAAUUAUUCAUUGUUAUAUAAUAAUGAAUUUAAUAUUAUAAUAUAAUAAACCUCUUAUAUAAAAAUCAAGAUAAAUAUUAUAUUAAAACUAAUCAUAAGUACUGUCAAUCAUCUAAACAAAAAGGAGAUUAUCGUCCAUUAGAGAGUGAAAAAGAAAAGAUUACACAUGGCAAUACGAAAUGAUGCAAAGAAAUAUAUAUAGUAUUUAUUAAUUAUUAUUCCUAUAGUUGACAUCAAUAAAUGCAUAUAAUAAAAUGAAAUUGGGAGGAGUCAUAUUGUGAAUUAUUGUGGUACCAAAAAUAUUUUUAUAUUUAAUUGACUCGUGAUUUUUAUUACAACGUGCUUUAAUCUAAAGUUUUUUCCCAUCCCUGGGUCCCACCACCCCUAUUAGAUUCACAUUUUUUGAAUAUUCUUUUAAGAAAUUAAAAUUUAUUUAAAACCCUUGAAUUGAAUCUAUCAUCUCCUAUGUGCACUUGUUCACCUCUUUUAAAUGAAGAAAAAUUCAUCAAAUUUUGAAAUUACUCUUGUGUAUUCAAAUUUUAAUUUCAAUAUACAAAUUAGAGAAAAUUGUAUAACUAAUUAUUUUGUUUCCUUAUCGUGAAUGUGAAGAAGCUACAAAAUUAAAAUGUUGGUAUUUCAUCUGUCUCAAUUUAUGUGAUUUACAUUUUGUUUUAAUCAGUUUAAAAAAGAAUGACACAUUUCUAUAUUAAAUUAAGUUGUAAUUUUAACUAUAAAAUAUCUAUUUUACCCUUAAUGAAAUGAUUUAUAGCCACACAAAUUUUGUGAUUCAUUAUGGACACAAGUUUUAAAAAUCUUCAUAUCUUACUUAAACUUCUUCUUGAGUCAAUCUACCUCACAUAAAAUGGGACAGCGAUACUAUAAAAAAAUUCAAGUGUAACACUUGAUAUAUGUAUCUUUAUGGUCUAUCUAAGCAAUUGACUUAUUGUUAUCAGGGCCAGAGUGUGUACUUUCUCAAAUUGCAUGAUAUUUUGAGGGCAUAAUACAUAAAUGUGCCUUUUAAUUUGGUUUCGAGUUACAUUUAUGCCUUUUAAUUUUGAGUGUGCACAAUUAGACAAUUAAACUUGUAUAAAAUUGAACAGAUAGACACACAUGUCCCACAUGUCAUUUUUUGUCCUACGUGUAUUGUGUCAUGUAGGACUCAUGUGUUUAUUUAUUAAAAAAUUGGAUAGUUAAAGUGUCUGUUUGUGUAUUAUGAAAGUUGAAGGUCAAAGUAAAAAAUUUAGGAUCCAAUAUAUAUAUUAUGUUUAUUCUUUUACUUGUCAUUUUGUAUCAAGAAAAGAUAAAAAAACAAAAUCAUAUCUUAUCUUUAACAAUAUAAGAACUUGUUUGUGAAUUAUUUUUGAAGAUCUAAUACUUAAAAAUUAACUAAUGCAUACAUUGUAAUAAAACACUCAUAUUAAUAGUUUUUAAAGGACAUGUAAAAUUUAAAAUGAAGGGAGGCCGUAAUUUUUUAUUAGGAACUGAAGUUUUCGGGUAUGUUACUGCAUCCAUUACUCUAAAAAUAAAAUGUAUAUUUUUAUUAUGUAAUACAAUAAAUUUUCCAUUUUAAAUUGUCUUUGUUCUAAAAAUAAUGUAUAUUUUUUAAAAAUAAAUUGUGAUUUUAUUUAUUAGUCCUGUUAAGUAAAUACAAGACAAUUUAAAAUAAAACUGGGGGAGGGAGUAUUUAAUUUGUACACAUUUCAACUCAUUAUGGACAAAUAACAGAAGGCAGACCCGCAAUUUAUGGCUCCAAACUUAGAGGAAUUAAAAAUAAUUACAUAUCAAAGGUGAAGCUCGAAAUUACUCUUUGGGUCCAAUAAUAAUUAUUCAUCAUUAACUCGACACGCCGUUUAAGAACAAUAGAUAAUAAAAGUAAUAUCAUCUCUGUCCCCUUUUAAUUUUCAUAGUUUUCUUUUCUAGAGCUAAAAUAUAAAAAUUUUAACUAAUAUUUUACGAUUUAAUCAUAUUGAUAUGUAUAAAAUUGCAAUUUAUAGUAUCUUUCGUAUAGCUUUUUAAUAUUUAAUUUUUUUAAAAAAUAUAAAAUUAAUUUAAUCUAAUUUAACUUUAAAAAUUAGUCAAAUUGAUCUUUGAACAACAUAACAGAACAAAAAAAAAUAGACGAAUGGUCACCCCUUGAAUAUAUUACAUUUAAUGUUUUGAAAAAUAUAAAUAGUAGAAUUUAAUAUCAAAAAUAGAAUAAACACAAAAAAUGAAUUAUCUUUUAAUUUUUCAAAUUAAGCGUGUAUUAUUGAAUAAUAAAUUUUUUUAAUAAUGAACGACUAAAAAUGGAGAUUAAUGAAAAGAAAAAGGAAAACGAGAGAGAGACUUUUUUUAAUUGCAAAAGUCAAGUUUCCUUAAAGUGAUGAUAAUAAUUAUUAAAACAUGGUUGACUUAUUAUAUUUAUUAAAUUUAUCCACCAAAAGGGUAUAAUUGGCAUAUCAAAACUUGGUGGCUCCAUAUAAAUACAGGAGUUAAAUGCCCUAUGUAGGACACACAACUCUUUUAAUUGCAAAAGUCAAGUUUCCUUAGUUCCUCACUCUUUGGAGUACCUAAGUUUUCUCUUCUUUUCUCCUCAGUCGAUAGUCUGUUUUAUUUUUAAGGUUAUUAAUUUCAGACUUCACUUAUUAGAAUUAUGGCGGUUAAAUGUGAAUCAUCGCCGAUGCAUGCUACCUCUAGCGGAUUACUACAAGGUGAUAAUCCGUUGCAUUAUUCACUCCCUUUGGUGAUUGUACAAAUAUGUUUGGUGCUUGUACUCACCCGAGUCCUCGCCUAUCUUCUCCGCCCACUAAGACAACCGCGUGUUGUUGCUGAGAUCAUCGUAAGUUUUUCUUCUUUUACAUUUUGUCCUCUUUCUCACAGCUUAAGCCAAUAUGUUUACACCCUCCCUCUUGAUCUAAAAUAAUAUUUGCCAAUUAAAUUACACUUUUAUUAUCAAAGAUAUGAAGUUCUCUUAAUAAAUUAAUCAUUAUUGUUGCCUCCACGUUCAAAGGACUAAUUUGGCGUAGAAUUAUUGGCACUCAUGCAACUAGAGGUUUCUUAUUUUUAAUAAAAAUAAUUAAAAAGCCCACCUUCAUUAAGAACGUACAUAUUACUCCUUUUUAUUAUUUAUUCGUUAUUGUUUCUUUUCUAACGUACAUCGGGUAGGAUUUAGCCUGGCUGUUUCUAACCAACUCUUUGGAAUAUGUAGUCUAGAAAACAUAUUUUAUGUAUUAAAAUCAUAGUAUCCAAAAUUAAUUUACUUAUUGCACAUCAUAUACAUAUAUAUUGACUUUGUAGCAUGGACUUAUAAUAUAUAGUAUAAAUCAGUUCUAUAAUAGAGGAGAUUCUUCAGAUCCCUCUGCAUCAAUUGUGAAAAGUAUAUUUAAUUAAAAAUGAAGGGAGUAGUUAAGGUUGAUAAAUGAAAGAAUCAAUUUUUAAAACAAUAAAACUUAGGUUUAACUUUUUUGAUAAUUUUUUAAUCUUGAUAAGUGUAAUUUUCUUUUGCUUUGAUUGCUAAUACUGAUCAAGUAUGUACGUCCAUAUUUUAAGGAAUCAAUUUUUUUUCUUAAUGAUAUAUGGUUUCAUAACUUUAUCCUAAAACAUCAUUCCUCUUUUAGUGUCACCGAUUCAAAAUUUAAAACUACUGAAUUUAAAAUAAGUGAUAUCUUAUUAGAAAUAUACAAUAUUAAAUUAAUUUAGUAUCGUGUACUUGUAUUUAAACCAAAACCAACAUGCAUGUUGAUCAACUCGUAGUAUGUGUAUUGACAAUAGAUUUUUUCUAUUUUUGGUAGGGAGGUAUUUUACUAGGUCCAUCCGCGCUUGGACGUAACAAAAAUUAUCUAAACGCGAUAUUUCCACCAAGUAGCCUCCCAGUGUUGGACACAUUGGCUAAUCUUGGUCUCUUAUUCUUUCUUUUUCUGGUUGGGACUGAGUUAGACCCAAGAUCUCUUCGUCGAACCGGAAAAAAAGCACUAUGUAUUGCCCUUGCUGGUAUCACUCUCCCUUUUGUAUUGGGAAUUGGUACAUCUUUUGCUCUUCGAUCCACAAUUGCCCAAGGGGUUAAUCAAGCCCCUUUUCUAGUCUUUAUGGGAGUUGCCCUUUCUAUCACUGCCUUCCCUGUCUUAGCUCGUAUUUUAGCUGAACUUAAGCUAUUGACAACUGAUGUUGGUCGAAUGGCUAUGUCUGCGGCGGCGGUUAAUGACGUAGCAGCAUGGAUUCUACUAGCUCUUGCUAUUGCACUUUCAGGUUAGAAUUAGAAUCAUAUGCAACUUUUUUUUUUUAAGCAAUAUAAAUAUUUAAAUUCUCAAUUCGCAUCUGUUAUGUCAUGUUGUAGGUUCGGGGUCUCCAAUUGUUUCUUUGUGGGUCCUGUUGAGUGGUUCAGGUUUUAUCCUUCUUUGUAUAUUGAUUGCACCUAGAAUAUUCAAGUGGAUGGCAAAGCAAUGUCCUGAGGGAGAGCCGGUGAAUGAGUUGUAUGUUUGUGCUACAUUGGCGAUUGUUUUGGCCGCGGGAUUUGCCACUGAUGCUAUUGGAAUUCAUGCUUUAUUUGGGGCUUUCGUGGUUGGUGUUCUUGUACCAAAAGAAGGGCCAUUUGCUGGUGCUUUAGUGGAAAAAGUGGAGGAUUUGGUAUCAGGCUUAUUCCUACCGUUGUACUUUGUGUCUAGUGGAUUGAAAACAAACGUAGCUACUAUUCAAGGUGCUCAAUCUUGGGGUCUUCUUGUUUUAGUUAUAGCUACGUCUUGUUUUGGGAAAAUUGCUGGUACUGUUUGUGUAUCUCUCAUGUGCAAGUUAUCUGUUCAAGAAUCGUUAGCACUCGGUUUCUUGAUGAAUACUAAAGGACUAGUCGAACUCAUUGUCCUUAACAUUGGCAAAGAUAAAGGGGUAAGCUUUUUCCUUUUUCCUUUCUUUCGUUUCAAUAAUAAUGCUUUUAUAGUAACUAAACGAUAUGAUUUGUCCGUAUUAAAUUUUGUAGGUAUUGAAUGAUCAAAUAUUUGCCAUUAUGGUGUUGAUGGCACUCUUCACAACAUUCAUGACAACACCACUAGUUAUAGCAACCUACAAGCCAGCCAAAAUGGCUGUAACAGAGUACAAAAACAGAACCAUAAUGAGGAAAGACACAAGCAAGCAACUCCGAAUCUUGACAUGUUUCCACGGCACAAGAAACAUUCCCACACUCAUAAAUCUCAUCGAAGCUACUCGAGGAACAGACAAAAAAGAAGGACUCCGCGUCUACGCGAUGCACCUCUUGGAGCUCACCGAAAGACCCUCAGCAAUUCUAAUGGUACACAAGGCCCGAAAAAACGGACUCCCCUUGUGGAAUAAAGAGAAAGCAGGCGAAUCAAACCAAGUCAUUGUCGCAUUUGAGACGUUUGGACAACUCAGUAAGGUGUCGAUAAGACCAAACACAGCAAUCUCUCCUAUGUCUAGUAUGCACGAAGACAUAAUUGCUAGCGCGGAGAGAAAAAGAGUCUCGAUGAUCAUUGUACCAUUCCACAAACAUCAGAGAUUGGAUGGACAUUUCGAAACAACUCGUGCUGAUCUGAGAAACGUGAAUAGAAGAGUCCUCGAACACGCACCGUGUUCAGUUGGAAUCAUAAUUGAUCGAGGGCUCGGUGGGGCAUCUCAUGUAUCCGCUAGUGAAGUUAACUAUUCGGUCCUGGUUUUAUUUUUCGGGGGCCAUGAUGACCGCGAAGCCCUUGCCUACGGCAUGCGCGUCGCAGAGCACCCUGGCAUUACAUUAAACGUGGUCCGGUUCAUAAUUGAUCCAGCUGUUAUUGGGGCCAGUGUCCACGUGGACAUUGUUCAGAACUCCAGUCCCGUACCGGAGUCACAAGAGGACGAGAUUUUUCUUUCUGAUAUGAAACAGAAAUCAAGCGGUGACAGUUCUAUUAUUUUCCAAGACAGUAUCGUCAAGGAUAUAAGAGAAACUACAGAAGUUAUUCGCGGAUUUAAAAAAUGUAAUUUGUUUAUAGUCGGGAGGAUGUCUGAGGGGCAAUUGGUUUCGGCAUUUGAUUCAAAAAGUCAUCAUUGUCCAGAAUUGGGGCCGUUGGGGAACUUGUUGAUUUCCGGUGAGAUUUCAACAUCGGCAUCAGUGUUAGUUGUGCAGCAAUAUCGAAGCGAGUUACCGCAAGAAUCACUAAGGUCGUUGAGGGCUGGAGAUUCAUCAAGGGUUGGAUCAUCAAGAAUUGGACAUUCAGGAAGAGUUGGACAUUCAGCAAGAGUUGGACAUUCAACAAAAGGAGUUGAUGGUGAUGAAGAAGUAACUGAAAUUUAAUUUUUCUUUACACAGGGGUAAAUAAGGUAUUUAUCAAAUAACAUAAGGUUAAAAUCAUGUAUAUAAUGUUGCUUAACCUAUGGAUCGUUUUUAAUUUUUAAUUUUGGUGUUUUAUUGUUGUAACGCAAAGCGUAUAUAUGAAGUUCAUUGAAGUUCUUGCCUCCUUGCUUAAUAUUCGUCUAACCCAUCCGUUUCAAAAAGAAUUAUCUUCUUUCCUGUUUAGUCUGUUUCAAAAAGAUUGAUCUUUUUUUUUUUGUAACAAUUUUCGACGAGACAUGUUUAAGGUUACAAGAUUAAAGGACAAUUUUGUCCAUUUGACAUAACUUUAAUUCAGGACUACAUGAUCAAAAGUCUUUUUUAUUUUCUUAAACUCCGUGUCAAGUCAAACUAGACUAUUCUUUGUGAAACGAUGAGAGUAAUAUUUUACAUCGAUGGCUAGCUUGCUAGCUUUGGGGGUGCGAAUUAAGUACGUAUAGGACCUAAUUCAACAUAGUAUCAGAUGAGAUGUUGGGUUGCUAAAGCAAAAAGUCUUACAUUGAUGAUUAAUGAGAUGAGUGAAUUCCUUGUAAGGGUUUGACGAUUCUUCUCCCUUUGAACUUGUUUUUUAGGAUGUGAAUUAGGUCUAAGACCUAAUUUAACACUAACUUUGUAUUUUUUUUUUUAUAAAAAAAGUAUACUUUGAUCAUUUUUGAGUGUUUGAAUUAUGAUCGUUUCAUCUUAAAUAUCAAGAUGUUAAAUAGAGCAGAAUUUUAUUAUUUAAUUGUAUUAUCGAUGGAUAAAACAUUUAAUCUUAUAUUAAUGCUAAAGUUUAUAAUCAUUACAUUUAAAAGAUUAUUCUUUUAUAAAAACAUAUUUUUAUUAAUUUAAUUAUAUUAUCUUAUGAUAUGAUACACUUUUCUUUUGUCUAAUAAAAGUUGGAAACGUUCCUCCAUUACAAGAUAAUCUUAUUUUCCUUAAAAAGGAACAUAUACUUUAAUGAAUGAAUGCAAUCAGUUAGUUACAUUAAUUUAUUUUAAUUAAGUCAACUCACGAUUCACAAACAACUAGUAUUAUCAUUUUUAGGCUUUAUAGGAAUCAGAUUUACUAUUUGCUCGUUUUUAAAUUAUAUUAAGAGAUUUUUAUGUCCGCGUGUUAAAUGGGUCGGUUUAGAUUAUUAUUGAUUAAAAUUAUUAAAUUAAUUUAGUCAAUUUUUAAGUUUUCAAACCAAACCAAAACCUGCAGUAUACAUUAUCGAUUUUGGUUUGAUUUAGUUCAAUUGUUGAAUGCAGAAGUAAAAACAAUAAAUCUUUUAUAAUGAAAAGAAAAAAGUGAUAACAAUCCAUUGAAGAUGAAAAAUAGUCAGAAUAUUAACAUUAUAAAACUUUCUGUCACUAAAUUUUUUUGAGAAUGAAGCUUCAAAUUUUAUAACCAUUUUGGUUUAGAGGGAACUAGGAAGAGAUAAUGACAUUUCUAGUCCUACCAAAAUUGACAUUGACGCUUAUAUACAUGAAAACAAUAAGAUAAAUAUUUUCGUCUUAUAAAUUUUUGCUUUUCUUUUUUUUUUGGUAGUUGAAAGGAUUUUAUUUAUUAAGAAGCAGGUUCAUCCAUACAUAAAAGAACUGAUCUAAACGAUAUAGUUCCAUUCGUUGUAUCUCCUUCAAGAGCUUUUAGUGUAAAGGAAAGUGAUGCCUCAAAUACAAAACAACUUGUUCAUAGAUAGAUUAAAAAUAAAAUUAGAUAAAACAUAUAUAAGAUCUUUAAAAUUAUUUGUAAAAAUUAUGUAUUAUGUUUGGAUAAUAAUAAAAUAUAUGUAUAUUACUUUUCAGUUCAUAUUUUUCUAACAAAACCAAACCCAAACCAAAACUAUAGGUUUUAAAAAUUGUAAAACCAAAUCAAACAAAACCUAAAUAAAAUUGAUUUAUUUAAUUAAAUUGAAUCGAUUUUUAUCUAAAUCGCGAACACUCCUAUUUGUAUGUGUCGAGAAAAAUUAUAAAGCUCUGUUUAAUUUAUUGUUGUUAGAAACCCAAAUCAUUGGAUUAAAUCGAGUGAAAUGGAUAAAUAGUAAGAAUUAAUUCAUAAUAUAUACUUCGACUAUUGAUGGACUCAAUAUUAUGUAAAACAAACGACCUUUUUAGUUCAAUAUUUGCAAAUAUUUGUGGUCUAAUUUCAGUAACCUACACAAAUUUGUUAUGUCUGCUUAAUUUGGAGUUGAUCAAAUUUCAUUUUGAACAUUAAAAUAGCACAAAUUUAGUAAUAUUACUUGAAUAACGUCAUACAAAAUCAUAUGUCGAAAGCAAAAAAUGGGUAAUGAGAACACCACUAAUCCAUUAUUGUAUUGUGGGAUCCCUUGUAUUAUUUAUAAUGAUGAAAAGACACAACUUUUUUUCCUUUCAAUAUAAAUAUAGCAACUUUAAGUUGGCUUUAAUGAGAAAAAAAAUUAAAUUAUUUUUUCAAUGGGUGGCAAGUGUAACCACGUGACAAUUUAGUCCCUUUAAUUAGCACCUAAUUAAGACUGUGAUUUGUGAUUUGGUGGUUGAAAAUCAUGAGAUUUCAUAUUUAUUUAUUAGCGAAUAUAAAAAUACUAUAUGAUUUUAAUAUAUCUUAAUCUUAUUGGAUAGAAUUAUAAUAUACGUAGAAUCGAUCGAGUUGCACGCUAGCUAAUCUGAACAAAAAAUACAACUUAUUCCGUUUUAAGUUCCGUUUUAAGUUCCAUUUUAUUGUAUACUCUUUAAAUCCAAACGCCAUUUUGAUAACAAUACUGGCAACCGCAUAUCAUAUUAUUAUCCCUAUUUAAUAUAUAUUUCCCAAACUAUAGGGGGCAUUUAUAGUUGUAAUAACAUUUAAUAAAGCCUAAUAAUAGAGAUAAAGUCCACACAUUAUAUAAGCACCAAUAAUAUGCUUACGUCUCAAAUCAAUUACGUAUUCCAACUUCUUUUUUUCUCUUUUUUCAACACCAAAUUUGUAUAAAAAUAAUAAAUUUCCAUUAAAUAAGGAGUUAGACCUGCAAUAUAUAUAAAUUAAGGAUGCAAUUAGACAGGCCAUUGACAAAUUCAAUAUUUGAUCAAUCAUAUGUUUUAUUUUAAAUGUAUUACAUAAAAAAAUGUCAUUAACACGUGGCCGACAAUGUGAUCUAUUAUUUUCUAAUAUCUUUAACCGACUAAUUUUGACAUAAAAACUUCAAAAUUAGAGGAUAAUGAUGUUUAACUAAUUUCCUAUGAGAAAGUGAUUACAAACUUUAUAUAAGUAAAGAAUGAUUAGAUUCAGUAAAUCUAAUGAUUAAGAGGUGUACAAAUUUGGCUUGGAGAAAAUCCAGGGUGAAUUAAUUUAAAUUAUUGAGUAUUGUAAUUUAAAGUAUACAUAGUCAUUCGAUUAUAUUUUUUUCUUUCUUAAAAUUCAAGGUAGGGGGACAGUAUAUGAGUUACAGAAUCGAAUCCCAAGGUGAAAAUUUAUGUAGACAACCAAUCGAGUUACUAAAAAAUUGUCAGUCACUUAGUUAUGCAUCAUUGACAAGUAUUCAAAAAACAUAUGCCAUCAAAUCAUUAAUUGAUAUUCUGUGUAAAUAAGCUAGUGCGGAAAGCUAGGUUAGUCUGGAUAUGGAGUCAUUUUUGUUAGAUUGUGUUUUAUCCGUUACUGUGAGAAUUUUCAACUCAAAUUCAAAUUUAAUUAAAUUUCAGUAUAGAUAUCGGACACUGUAAAAAAACUAAAAAAGAAAAAUACUAAUUUAGGCUUGUGACUAUAGUCCAACUUAUUGGGCUGCAUUUUAUAAGAAAAUGGGCUAUAGAUUUGCUUUAGCUAUGCAGUAUAGAUUGAGAAUAACAAGAAACAAUAGUGGGCUUAUGUAUGAAGAUCGAGAAAAGAUUAACAAAAAAAAUCCCAAAUCAUGUGACUAAUGUUUUACUUCAACUUGAACUGGCUCAGCCACCAAAUGGACCUCACAAGGCCUUAGACAACAAUUUUUUUCCUUCGAGAGUUUUUCGAAAAUAGCCUAUCUAUCUUCAUAAGAUAAUAAUAAAGUCUAUGUACACUUUAUUCUCUAAUCGAGUAAAUUUCAUUAAAUAUAUUAUUAUUUAUAUUUUUAUUAUUAUUAUUUUCAAAGCACACCCAAAACAAAGUUAAUGGUACAAACAAAUCACCGAAUAAAUUUUGAGUUUAACAUAACUCAUAUCCAAAAGCUAACUUAAAGAAAUGGCGAAUCGUAUCAAACAACUUAAUACUGAAACGACAAUUAUUUCAUUUUUUAUAAGUUGUCAUUUCAUAAGUUGUUGGAGCCUAUUAAAUUUUGAGCUAACUGAAUGGAUUUCUCAAUUUCUUUGAGUUAUCUAAUUGUCCACUAUAUUAUCUACUUUUAAAUUAUUUCAACUAGCUAGUAACUUCUUAAUUAAGCUAAAAGGACAGAUUAAUUAAGAUAGAUGAAAAUUAAUUAUUACUCAUUAAUGCUUUGUUUGAUGAGUAGUAUUCACUAAUAUAAUACUAACAGCAAAACAGACAAGUAGAGAUGAAUAAGGUAACAUCCAGAUAUUUGAAACUUUGACAUUUUAAGAAAGAGACAAACCUUAUGAUUGAUGCUUUUGUUUUGGCCCAAUAUGGAUAAAGUAACAACUGAUAAGACUUUGAUACUGAUUAUCAUGUUAAAUAAAUUUCAAAAUUAAAAGUUAACACAAAGAAUGAAGGAUUAUCCAAGAAGAGAAACCUCACAUCCCCAAGAGAGGUGACGUACAUAUGCAAUAUCCAGUAUGAGUUGUUCGUUUUUCUAUCAACACACUGUUAAAAUAAAAAAGAAUAAUUUAACUAAUUUAUCCCUUGUAAAACUUUUUGAACUAUUUAUACUUUUUUAAACGACAUCAUAUUGAACUUAUAACAUAGAACUCUUCACGUUUUGUGAAAUUAGGUCUUAGGCCUAACUCACACCCCAAAAGCUAGCUCAAAGGGAGGAGGAUUGCCCAAGCCUUAUAAAGAGUCCACCCAUCUCAUUAAUCACCGAUGUGGGAUUUUUGUCAUUAUUUAACACGUUUACAUAUAUGAUUCAAAUUCUAUGAAUGAGGGAAGUUUAUUAUAAAUUAUCAGCUUGAUCAUCUGAGGAUUUAACUUCACUUGUUUUUGCCUCUAAAUCAUCGAGAUAAUGUUGAUAUAUAUAUGAUGCAUAUCCCCAUAAUCCCAAUAACAAUGAAAACACCUUCAAUCCAUUCAUUCUAUCUUUCAAGAACACCAUUGCAAAAAUUGGCACAGUUGAAGAUCCCAAAUUGAUUAUCACAUUUGAGAAUAAAGCAGAAGCCUUGUAAACCAAUCCAACUGAUCCAACAGCGUAUAACUGCCAAGAAAUGGCAGUACAAAUCAAGUUUAUAACAUAUGACGAUUUCCCUGUUCUGUAUUCUCCUAUUUCCUUCUCCAAAUCAUUCCAAUUACCGCUCGCGAAAAGCCCAAUCAACGAAGCAAUCGUCACGUAAAAACCUAUGAAAAACGACAUUUUCAUGACUUGUUUUAACGUGUUACUUUUGAAUACCUUUUGGAAUGCGAGUUCUGUUAAUGAGAACUGUAAUGCGUAACCUAGAGAUCCGAAUGUUGUAACUGCAAAUCCGAUCAGCAGAGAUUUCUGAGAUAUUUCACCGCUAUCACCAGUUUCAUUCUGGAAAAUAACAACAGAGGAUGAGAAGGAGAGAAGCACGACGGAGUUGAGUAUAAUUGCUGUGAUUUUAUGUCCGUUGAGGAAGAAGGAGGUGAUGGCGUUGAACGCCAAUUGAGUACCGGAAAUUAGGGAAUAAGUAGAGGCAGGAAGGUACUGUACUCCAACGGUAAAUGACAUAGAGUUCACUACUUGAAAUAAACCAAGGAAGAUGUAAACGGAAGCGCGAACAAAUACACUAGCAUUCACAGGUGGUUCAUUUUGAUUUCUGGUUGCAGAAUAGAAAAUAAAAGGCAGAAGAAUUGGGAAUCCAGCAGUUUGUGCUAGUGUAGCAAUCCAUCUGAUUUUGCCUCCUUGUUCAUAAUAUACUCUGCCCAACAGAGUCCCAGCUGCUUGACCACCAAUAGUAAAAAAUGUGAAGAUAAAUAUUUGUAGCCAUAGUAUAAAUUUACUCGACUGAAAUUUGCUGUUUUUCGCAUUUUCAGAGGACUCUGUUUCCUCUGCUUCUUCAUCUGUCAAAUGAAACAGGGCAACAUAAAAACAGAGAGACCAAAAUCAAAAUUGACUUCUAAUUCAGUGAAUUUGAGCGGGUUUAGCUCGAUCCAUUUCAACCAAACCCGUUUCAAUACUGUGGUUUGAUAUAGGUAACCUUAUAAACUCUAGAUUUAUCAAAAUCGAUGCAUCGGUGAAGCCAAAAAUUCAAAGUAAUAGAUUAAAAAUCAAAUGAAAUAUUUUUUUGCCUGUUUACGUAGUGUAAAUUUUUCAGUAGAGAUUUAAUAUGAUUUUGACUCAAUUGAGAUGACGAUGAAGAAGAAGAGCAACUGACAAGCUAGAUGAUGCAGCAAGUUUUCAUGAGCUCCUUCUUCCAUGCUAACAAAGUUUGUAUAAACCGUUUUUUUCUUCUUUUAUUGAAUGAUCAAUGAACUAUGGACACCCCAACCACAUUUUAUAAUUCAUUCCUUUAAUUUUAAUUUUAUAAUACUAAAUUAAAAUUAUAUCAAAUACGUGUGAUCUUAGAUAUAAUAGAUUUUAAGGAGUGUCAAUUUAAAAAAAGGAAGUAAAAAAAAUUAGAUGUUAGUUGAUAUAUCGUCUUAUAAGUAUUAAUUUGUUAUAAAACCAAAGAAUAUCUUAUUAAUUUAAUAGCGGAUUAGUAAAUUAAAAAAUCCAUAUCUAUUAAACCAAAUUAUUAAGCAAAAUUAAUCAUUUGGUGAACAAUCCUAUUUGGUAGUAUUUACCUAACUUCUGACUUUUGAGUGCUAAAUUCUAAUUUAAAAAAAAUAAAAUAUAAUAAUUUCUACUGAAUAUACAGUACUGUUAGGAAAUCAAUAAUCUAUUUUUUGGAAAUUCAAGAGUAUUGAGCAUAUUUGACAGAAUAGAUUCUUUUUAGACUUUAAUAUAAACACUAAAUAUUAAAUAUUUAUAAAAAAUAAAUAAAGGUCACAUCUCAUAAAGAUUAAAGGACCCCUCCAUUUUUAUUGGUGUGGGUCUCUGUGUACAUUUUUAUAGGUAUCAUCAAUUAUGUAACACACCUAAUUGUAAGUGGAGGCAGGGGCCGGUAAUUGAAUAUUUAAACUACACUCAACGACUAAUGACUUUUUAUUUUAAUGAUAUUUAAAUGAAGAUAAAUAAUAAUACAAAAUAAAAAUAAAAACAGUGUGAAAUUUCAUAAAUAGCUAAGGGAUGAAUCCUAAUAAUCUUCCGUAGUUACAUUUUGUCUAAUUAUGAUCCACAAUUAUUGUUUCAUUUCGUUGGGUUCAUUUUUCGUUCGCAUAUUUAAUUAUUUUUUUAAUAUAUAAUAAAUUAUACAAAUUGACUUUAUACAAGUUACAUAUUAUACAAACUAUGACUAUAGACAAAUAAGUGAUUGUAUACGAGUGUUGAAAUUAUAUAAUUGAUUCGUAUAAAGUAUUGUGGGUGAUACUAAAAAGAAAAAAUAUUACUAAUUUUUUUUUAAAAAAAACAUUUGUAUAAACACAAAUAUAUAUAGAUAUGUACGAUAUAAUAAUAAAAUAAUUAAAUAUACAAAUACAAAAAUAUAUAAAAAUAGAAUCUAUAUAAGUAAGUGUUCUUUGAUUAAACUGUGACCACAACUCAUAAUUAUAUAAAACUAUAAUUAUAUUAAAUAAUAUAUCAAUAAUAUUUAUCAAUUGACCUAACUUUUCCUAAAAUUAAUUAGUUCAACUAAUAUCAACGGAGAAAAGGACAGUACAAUAGGGGGUCCCAAAGGACGAAAUAAUUGAAUCUUUGAGAAGAUCCUAAAGCUUCUUUUUUGUUUUUUUUUAAUUAAAAAAAGAUUCAAAUGUCAAUUUGGACAACGAAAUUAUUGAAUCAUCGAAAAGAUUCUAAAGUUCCUUUCUUGCUUUUUUGGUUGAAGAAUUUUAUUUUACAGCCUUAUUAAAUAAAUUAUAAUUCAUAAAUACGAUACAUAAUAUAUCUUAAAAUAACACAUUAAUGAAUUGAAAUUUUUUUAAAAUAAAUGUUUAUAGUUAUCAGUUCAAAUAUGUAUUAUUUUACUUAGAUUCACUGAUCAACAUGAGUAGUAACUAGUUAUUUUUUAAUAGACAAACAAUCUUUUCAUAUUAAUCUUUUUGGGAAAAAAUAAACAAUUUUUUUUAUAAAAUAUAAAUUUAUAGAUCAACUUUUGUAUUUAUUUAUUUUUUAGGUAAAAUCACUAUUUAAAAUUCUAUAUUAUAUUUCUUAGAAAAUUUGAAAUUUAAAUUUAGAGUGAUUAUCAUGAAUUAAAUGCUCGCUCAAAUUAGAUAAUGUUAUAUCGCAAGCUUUAUUUAUUUAUUUUUUAAUUUUCUAUCUUGUGUUCAGAAUUCAUGUUCCGAUUAAAUUCGAAUUGUGCUACGCAGGGCCGUUAGGGAGUGGUGCCCCAAUAGAAACGCAAUCUUAUUUGAUUACAAGUUAGUGCUAUUUUUGUUAGUGGGGUGAAAGUUUGUCGUGUUGGUUGGUUGUGCGUGAGUUUUUGUUUUAUAAAGGAUAAGGGCAUGCCAUCUUGACAAAUGACACGUAACGUAUAAAAAGUCUAUCCUCGACCCCACUAAUUGGCGGAUUAAGGAUUUUAAAAUUGUGAGUGCUUCAAGUCCAUUAAACCCUAACACAACAGAUGCAAUAUACAACUUUGACUAUCCACAAAUGACCACCGCAUCAAUCAAUUUUUGAUAUGAGAAUAAUGGGUGCUCGAGCAGCCAGAAUAAUCAAUAUGAAAUCGAACUUAUUUUGACCACCGAAUAUGAAAAUUUUGGAAACCAAACGCACCCUUUAUAUGGAAGAACAAAAGAUACCUAAAUACAUAGCCAGAAGCAAAUCCAAUAUAUAAACAGCAGUUCAAUUUACACAGAAAUCAUAAAAUUUUACAUUUAAACAAUAAGCUAUAAAUUUACACAUUUAACUUGUCAAUCUAAAUAAGGAAGCUAAAUCAUUCAGAUAUAUAAGUUUCUUGAAUGAAAGGUUUGUUAAAAAUCAUCAUCCUGAUCAUCUGAGGAUUUAACUUCACUUGUUUUUGCCUCUAAAUCAUCGAGAUAAUGUUGAUAUAUAUAUGAUGCAUAUCCCCAUAAUCCCAAUAACAAUGAAAACACCUUCAACCCAUUCAUUCUAUCUUUCAAGAACAACAUCGCAAAUAUUGGUACAAUUGAAGUUCCCAGAUUGAUAAUCACAUUUGAAAACAACGAAGACGCCUUAAAAACCAAUCCAACUGAUCCAAGAGCGUAUAAUUGCCAAGCAAUAGCAGAACAAACUAAGUUUAAAACAUAUGACGAUUUCCCUGUUCUGUAUUCUCCCAUUUCCUUCCCCAAAUCCCUCCAAUUACCGCUCACGAAAAGCCCAGUUAACGAAGCUAUCGUCACGAAAAAACCUAUGAAAAACGACAUUUUCAUGACUUGUUUUAACGUGUUACUUUUGAAUACCUUUUGGAAUGCGAGUUCUGUUAAUGAGAACUGUAAUGCGUAACCUAGAGAACCGAAUGUUGUAGCUGCAAAUCCGAUCAGCAGAGAUUUCUGAGAUAUUUCUCCGCUAUCACCAGUCUCAUUCUGGAAUAUAACAGCAGAGGAUGAAAAGGAGAGAAGCACGACGGAGUUGAGUAUAAUUGCUGUGAUUUUUUGUCCGUUGAGGAGGUAGGAGGUGAUGGCGUUGAACGCCAAUUGAGAACCGGAGAUUAGGGAAUAAGUAGAGGCAGGAAGGUACUGUACUCCAACGGUAAAAGACAUAGAGUUUACUACUUGAAAUAAACCAAGGAAGAUGUAAACGGAAGCGCGAACAAAUAUGGAAGGGUGGUGAAUGGUUCGUUCAUCUUCAUUGUGAUUUUUGGGUGAAGGAUAGCAAAUGAAAG